rnacentral:lncRNA from 1 species
GUAGUUUUAGUAGGUCUAUUGAGAAUUAUGGCUCUGAAGAAGAGAUACGUAGCGAUCCUGGCUAUGUAGCUUACUAUCUGUCCAACAUCAACUUGAACCCGAGGCUCCCUCCUCCGUUGAUCUCACGUGAGAAUCAGCACUUGCUGCGUCAUUUGGGUGGUGAGGGUAAUAACCUGAGUCCAACAGCGUCUUGGGAUGAUAUGGGGGUAAGAUCUUCCUUGCUUGCUUCUAGAACUGCGCUUUCUACACAUAGAGAGGAGCCUGAGGACGAGGCUUCUUCUGGUGAACAGCUGACUUUUGCUUCUUUGCCUGGUCGUCGUAAGAGCUUUGCUGAUAUCAUUCAGGUACUGCUUGAUUCUAUCACUUAAUUUAAUUUUACAUUAAAGAAGAUUCUCUCUUUUAACGCUUUCUUUUGUGUUCAAGCGGCCUCAUUCGGCAGGGAACCAUCCAACAGCAGAAGACAUACAUGCCAUUUCUUCUGGUAUAGCUUCAGAAAGGACAAGAAGAGUACCAGAGUCUGAUAUAAGUGUGGUGAAUCUUCUGAGGGAGACAGAUUCUCUCUCCAUGGAGGCUAUUGCUAGUGAAGAUCCUUUUACCUCUGAGUUGAGCUCACAAAGUUCAACCAACACUCAGAAUGAGAGAUCAAAUGCGAGGGUAGGGAGCCGCGAGGACAACAAUCUAUCUGCUUUUGGUGCUUCUGGUCCAUCCUCUGCUGCUUCUAGAAUGAGGGGGAACCAAGAAGAGCCAAGGAGAAUGCCUGUGCAAUAUACGCCUUCAUCGUAUCAGGUUCAAGCUACUUCGCCACAACAAAUGACCUAUCCGAGGAUGGGUGGUGGUACACACGACAUGAUGCAGAACCUGCCUAGGAUUGCAACUGGAGAGGUACAUUCGAGUUUCCAAUCUCCUCACGGUUUGACAUCGCCUCCUAUGUAUACAUCAACAGCUGCAUAUAUGACAUCUCUGAGCCCGUUUUACAAUCAUAACUUUCAGUCCUCGGGUAUGUACCUCCCUCAGUAUGGUUAUAGCGGUUACCCUCCUGCCUCUGGUGUUGUCCCUCAGUAUAUGAGUGGAUACCCAUCUCAUGAAGCCACUGUUCCUAUGCCAUAUGAUAUCUCAUCGCCUUCUUCGGGCUACAACAACUCCUUCUCUCGUGAAUCCUUUUCACCUACUGCACAGAACACUCCUCUAGUGGAUCCUUUUCAGCUGCAAUAUUAUCAACAGGCUCAAGCAGAGGCAUAUGCUCCUUCGUUUGAUUCCUUUGGGAAGCAAGACCAACAAGCUACUGGCUUUAUGGCUAAUCAAGAACCUCACAGCAACCCUUUGAGUCCAAGUUUUGGGUUGCAAAGUCCACGGCACAUGGGAAACUACUUUGCAGUGCCACCGGGUGUGAGAGUCAUGCAACAGUAUCCAGGAUCACCUCUUGCUAGUCCAGUGAUGCCAUCCUCACCGGUUGGUGGGAUGAUGAGCCAGUUUGGAAGACGAAGUGACACAAGGUAUCAUCAUCAACAAGGACCUAGUAGAAACACAGGGAUCUACCCUGGUGGAUGGCAAGGGAACAGAGGAGGAGCUAGCAGCAGCAGCGUCGAUGAUUUUAAAAGACAUUCUUUUCUUGAUGAACUCAAGUCUCCAAAUGCUCGUAAAAUGGAGCUGUCUGAUAUCACAGGGCGUGUUAUUGAGUUCAGGUAUUGUUUAUAUUCUGAUAUCUAUCGUUUUCUUUAAUUCUGAGUGAAAGCAUCAAAAGAUAAUAUCAUUUUUUUUCUUGACUUCAGCGUUGAUCAGCAUGGCAGCCGGUUUAUCCAAAAAAAAAAUUGACUAGAAUAAUCACUAUAUACACAAAGAAUGAUAAAUAAUAUUAUAUUUACAUAAAAAACGUAUUUUGUAAAAAAAAUUUGGAAACUUAUUCAUGUAAAACCAAUGUCAUACACUCUUGUGGAGAGGGAAAGCUAGUUAUUGUAAAAUUACUUUUCGAAUUUAAUCUUUUAGCUUAUAAAAUAGGAUACAAAUGACAAAAGUCAGAAUCGUUUUCUCAAAAAAAUAUUAAUUAAUUAAAAUAGCAACUUUUAAAAAUUGCUUAGAUUUGCUUUUAAUAUUACAAACUAGAUUCCAAUUCACACUUCUAAAGUGUGGAAUUCUUUUUUUUUUGUAAAAUUUAGUUAGAGAGUUGAUAUACUUUUUGUUUUUUUUAUCUAAUUUAUAUUUUUAUUAUAACUAAAUUUUACAGUUUAAGUUGUAAAAAUUAUCUCAUCAAAUCAGUAACAAUAACAACAAUAUAUUAAUAUCUACAAACUUCUCCAGGAUAUUUUUGGUUUUUAUUUACAAAAUGUAAUUUAAUUUAAACUAUCUAUCUAUACUAUUAUUUAAGAAUUGAUUUCGCUUAUUUAUUACAUUUUUUAUGAUUUUAGGAUAAAUCACUAGUUCAAUUAAUUUAUAUUAUUAGAAAAUAUUUUAAUAUAUAUUUAUUUAUCAUAUAACUAAACUUAUUUAUGAUUAAGUUAUUCUUUAAUUUUUAGUUUCAAUUGUUGUAUAUUUUGAUUUACGUUACUAAUUUUAUUUGACAAUAUACACAAAAUGUUCUUUGAAUGAUUAUUUGAUCAGUGGACAGAAGCAUAUGGCCUUUAACAGAUCAUGGAUCCUACACAGUUGAAAGCGGGUACUGGUUGGCAGCCAACAAUUUCAACGCGUCUAUGUCUGCUUUAUCUCCAGGUGAAAAGACGAUCAUUGAUCCGAAGAAGAAGAUUUGAAAAUUCAAAACUCUGCCUAAGAUAAGAAUGUUUAUAUGGCGAGCUGUCUCUAGAGCGUUAGCAGUAGCAGAUAGACUUCAAACAAGAGGUGUGUGUAAGAUUAACUUUUAUGAUUUCAAUUAUGAAAUCUACCCAAGACCAAAAUAGAUUUAUCUUAAUUCAACCUUACUAGUUUUUCUAAAAGAAGAAGAGAGAAACACUAACCUUGAUCCAUGCUUGGAUACAAUUCCACCAAUUGAUCUUCUCGAUCCUUAACCUUUGACUUUCAAGAUUCCUUUGAUGGAGAGGAAUCAACCGUGUCUUUCUCUCUUUGACAUUGUCUUUUGUUACGUUAAUAUUAUUACCAAGGAGGGAACAUGUGGGUUAUAUAUUAUGUAAAUGGUUGUGAUGGUAAUGGUUGUGAUGGUUCACGACAAUUACCAUGUAACCACUUUUCUAUGUAGCCACAUUUUAUGUAACCCCCAUUUAUAUGUAUAUAGUAUCAUCUUUAUGUAGUUUAUAUAAACCAACUACAAAUACUAUAUACACAUAUAAAUAAACAAUAGAGAAAUACACUAAUACUAAAAUGGUAAGGAUAAAGGGUUAUCAAUACACCCGAUACUAAUAUUUUAAUUGAAACCAAUCUAUCACGGUAUCGUCUUUUAUAUUAGAAUCCAUAACAUUAAUAUGAACUUGAUCUUUAUACUGAACCAAUAGACACAUAUGUCAUAUAAGAAUAUAAAUAUUCUUACAGUGUGCUGAUAGACAUGGAAUGCAAGCAGUGCAACAAUGAAAUCGACUCUAUAAAUCAUGCUUUGUUUGAGUGUAUUCCAGCGCAAGACAUUUUACGGAUUGUUAACUUUCCUCCGUCUACAACGCCAGCUAGAAGUCUCGGUGAUAAUAUGAGUAUAGCUCUGGAGUUAAUGCAUGACUGUUCUGUUCCCGGAAACCUCUAGGAGAGCCAUUCCAUGGCUGCUAUGGACGAUAUGGAAGAACCGCAACUCGCUGGCACACAAACUGCUAUAGAUUCUGUAAUACUCAUAUUUUCCAAAAUAAAAUAACAAAUAAUAAUUCUGAAAUCUUUAUUUAUUAAUCUUCAUAAAUCAUCUCCAAACACCAUAAAUCUAAUAAAUAGUUAUAAAUCCAGAUAAUCGAAUAAAUUCCAAAAAUACGAUAAAAGCAUAAAAUCAAGUCAAUAAAAGAAAGAAAUAAAACGCCCAAAAACAUCAAUCACUCAUGUCAGUCAGUCUCACUUGAAAGAGAGAAAAAAAAAGAGGUGAGUAACAGGAAGGUCACUCAGUGAGGUAUAGGAUGUCAAACACGCAAACUACUGACUCGAGUAAAUAAAACUUCCACUAUAAAAGUGUAGCUCUAACAUGAACAACCAAGAUGCCUAAACCACCAUACACAACACACGAUGCGCUGAUAGAGUGCAUAACUAGAUCACGCACUCCGCAUUCUCUUUAUAUGGAUAUAUAAAUGUGCAUCGUCGCUAGUACAGUUUGUCUCUCUACCCCGUCCACCCCAGUAACGUCGAUGGUACAAAGGUUUUUGCACUACAUGCCCAACACAAGUAGCAUCGCUAGCCCAGAUAUCUCUGAACCCUCGCCCGCACAAUCACAGCAGCGUCGCUAGCCAAACAUCUUUGAGCCCCACCACGCACAUAGUCCCUACUCAUAAUUAUGUAUACAUAUAUACACAUAUAUACCAUAUUCUAACAACCACAAUCUAAUCAACGUUUGAAUCCUCUAGACCCCUAGUUCUGGUUUACAAUGAAUGAAAUAACUAUCAAUCACGACUCAUACAUGAUUCGAAAUCUGAAUUAACAUAGGAUGAAUUCUACACUAGUAAGAAAUUAUGGAAUAGAUCAUAACCUUAACCAAGAUCGGAGGUAUAUCAGGAAAUGCUAGGAUACCGAUGUGCCUUGUACAAACAAGACUUGGUCUAGGCCAUUACUGUCCAAGUCAAUUAACCCGAAAGAUCAUGUUUGUUCCUGCGCAUGACAUAUUAGGGUUUAUGUUCCAAGGAUUGCUUGCGCUACAAGAAAUAUAGGAUGUACCACUUAAUUAACAAAGCUCAAGCUCACGGUAAUAUAUACUUCAUCUCCGAUGACAUGACUUACUCCUCCUUGUGGCUCGUGAAGCCGUGAUCAACGAUGGUGGUGGUUGGUGUUAAACACCGCAGCUCCAUUUAUGGUCACGUCUUUUCUACGUCUAGUACGUAACUACCACAAGCACUGCCAACAAAAUUAUUAUCACAAAGCUUUGUCUCUGUUGAUUACAGCUAUGGUAUUUGGUGGUGAUAAUAACAUGACGUACCAAUAUUGAAGCACAUAAUCGGAUGUGGUGAUCGAGAGUGAGUGACGUAAGUCGUGAUGGAACGUGACGGCUCCGGUUUCACUUUCUCAUCUCGUCUUGAUCACAUUCCCACAACACCAAUCACAACAACGAUGGCUCUUCUCCAGUGAUGGAAGAGAACUUUGAUUUGAUGAGAAAAGGUGGAUGGAGAAGAAAAUGGUUCAGGGAUGGUUGAAUCUCCAUUGACGGCACAUAGCUUUAGGUUUUUUAGGAGGAGACUUAUAAUUAACAAUUAAAUAUAUAAUUAAGCAUAUGGUUUUACAAAACCACUAAGAAAUAACGAUUUAGGUUGUGGUCCAAUAAUUAAUCAAAACCGGGUCGUUACAGAAUCGUUGGUGGAUCAGGCGCUGGAGGAAGCUACAAUCUGGACUGGAGUUAACAAGAGUAAUGGACCAAGCUUGAUUCAUCCUUCUUCCAUAGAAAGUAUGUCAACGCUGGCAGGCUCCCAUCACAGCCAGGGUAAAAUGCAACGCAAAGUUCAACCAACACUCAGAAUGAGAGAUCAAAUGCGAGGGUAGGGAGCCGCGAGGACAACAAUCUAUCUGCUUUUGGUGCUUCUGGUCCAUCCUCUGCUGCUUCUAGAAUGAGGGGGAACCAAGAAGAGCCAAGGAGAAUGCCUGUGCAAUAUACGCCUUCAUCGUAUCAGGUUCAAGCUACUUCGCCACAACAAAUGACCUAUCCGAGGAUGGGUGGUGGUACACACGACAUGAUGCAGAACCUGCCUAGGAUUGCAACUGGAGAGGUACAUUCGAGUUUCCAAUCUCCUCACGGUUUGACAUCGCCUCCUAUGUAUACAUCAACAGCUGCAUAUAUGACAUCUCUGAGCCCGUUUUACAAUCAUAACUUUCAGUCCUCGGGUAUGUACCUCCCUCAGUAUGGUUAUAGCGGUUACCCUCCUGCCUCUGGUGUUGUCCCUCAGUAUAUGAGUGGAUACCCAUCUCAUGAAGCCACUGUUCCUAUGCCAUAUGAUAUCUCAUCGCCUUCUUCGGGCUACAACAACUCCUUCUCUCGUGAAUCCUUUUCACCUACUGCACAGAACACUCCUCUCGUGUUAUUCAACAAAAAUGAAAGUAAAUGACUUUUCCAAUCCAUUAUUUUGAAAUCUGUUGUUAUUUGUUUAUGAUUCUACAUACCUUUCUUUAUAAAAUCUAAUAAGCAAAGUAUCGCAAUAUUGUCAAAAUCUUUUUAAAAAUUGGAUGAGAUAUAAUUAAAUAAUAGGUCAGUUUCUUCUGAAAUCAUCCGAGUGAAUCAUUUUGCUUUGUGCUCCUCCACUACCAAGUCUAGUCUCAUACCAUAUAAAACAAUUUACCAUAUCACGAGUUCGUGAUUCUUGUUUUCAUGAUAGGAAAUCUGCAAUAAUAUCUUCCAAUCCUUUGUGUUUGUCUCUGUUAUCACAACAACUACAAUCUGUCACAGCCCAUCAUUUUUCAAAAUCUCCAGUCGUUACUAAACCAAAGGUUGUGCUCUUCGCAAUGUCCGCAUCAAUGGUGGUCUUGCGGGCAUAGAACAUGACACACAAACUCAAUGCAAAUACAAAAUAAUAACAAUUAACAAUGCAAACAAAUACACGAAGAGUGAGCAUAAAUUCAAAUGAUAAUAAAAACACAAAAGAUUUCAAGAUUGAUAAACGCAACAUUGGUAUCCAAAUUUUUCAUUGAGAACAUGCAAAUCUUUUUGUUCCAUGGUGAACUUGUUUAUUAAACCAUUAGCAUCACAACAAUUUUGAUGAAUUGCAUCAACGAGUAAAUCGAUCAGAAGUUUUGUUUCCUCUGGUCUCCAUUGAUUAUACCCACUUUUUUAGUUAUUCUUUUGUGAAUCCCCCAUUAGCUAGUUAUAUAAUAAUAAUAUUACAAGAUAAAAAUAAUAAACUAGAAAAGAAUCGUAAAUGAAAUAUGAAUGAAGAACUAAUGCAUAUAAUCAUAGAAUUAUACAUGACAUAUAGGUACAUCAAAUAAAAACUAGAAGAAAGUCAAAACUCUAAUAUGUACCUCAGAGCUGCAAUUUUUUUAGAAGCUUCCGAAUUGUUAUGUCUUCACAUGGAUAAUGGAUAAUUACGAAUACAACAACACAAUAUUGUAACACGAUACUAUCUCUAUUAUGUAAUACCUCUAGAUAAACUCUAAAAAAGUUUAUAAUUAUCUGCUCUCAGAAAAUCUAUACUACUCUAUAAAACUCGUGGUAUAUUUUAAGAAAAUCUAAAUUCUUUUAAAAUUUGUUAAAUUGUUUUUACAAUAAAAAUCAUCAAAAAUCUUCUAAACUCACAAACCAAUAAUAGCCCCUAAGACUACGAGCACAAACCUCCUUGUUCAAUUCGUUCAAGAGAGGCCUAAGCAGCUCACUAUUAAUAGUCUUAUCAAGUUUUAUCACUUGAGAAUUUGUUUCAAAGAGAGACUUCCACAGGGGAAGAAUCUCAGACUCUAUUGCUUCCCUAGCAAACCCAUUUGCCUCUGAAACAUCCUUGACAGACCUCAAAUUCUCCUCUAGCUUCUGCAGCUCUUGGUUGUAUUGCUCCAAAACAGACGGUUUCACUAGGCAACCAAUUUCGAGAGUGGAAACAAUGUGAGCCAAACCUCUGAUGGCAGAAACAAAAUCCUGUCGGAACGUCCCCAUCAGUUUUGACUGAGUGGAUUUUCCACCGUCAAUGUAGACGAGAUUCUUGGGUUUGAUAUAUGUUGCAUACACGAGUUGUAUAACACGGUACAAUCGUCUUACCGCGGGACCACGACGAUCCAUCUUUGUUUUAAACAAUGUAAAAAAACAGAAGUACGUCAUAGAACGUCUGUCAUCGGAUAAUAUGAACAUUGCUUCAGCCAUACAGAGCGAGAGCUCAACUCCGAGUCGCGCAGCUUCUUCUUUCUGCUCUUUCUCUUUGGUGACAUCAGUAGUCCUGUAAAUAAAUAAAUAAAUAAAUAUAAGAAAAGUAAGGGAUUUAGACUUCCUCUCAAAGGGAAUGAAUAUCAUCACUGACCCAUUAGUGAAAGGGGAACAUCUAGACUGUGGUAGUCUCUUUGUGUGACGGAUAACACGGUCAGUCAUCUGUUUCAAGAUACAAAUAAUCAAAUUCAGAGUCAAAAUUUCUUAUCUAAAUCGAGCAAUGUAAAUAUAUGGAGAAGAACCCUAGAUCGUAACUGUAGCCUCUAAUUUUUUUAUCGACUGAAAACUAACGAUUCGAAUCAGGGCUUAUCGAUUCCUUUUUAUCCAUUUUUUUGUUGAGACGGUCAAAACUGAACCUCUGUUUACGGUUUUAGCAUUUAUCUAUGUAGAUAAAAAUAAUCUCAACCAUUCCCACAAUUAUCUCAACCGUUUUUAGAAUUUUAAUUGAUGGACAAAUCUAAAAAUAGUUUUGUAGUAUUAUAAAAUUUGACUAGAAUGAUCAAAAACAAAAAAAAAAUUGACUAGAAUAAUCACUAUAUACACAAAGAAUGAUAAAUAAUAUUAUAUUUACAUAAAAAACGUAUUUUGUAAAAAAAAUUUGGAAACUUAUUCAUGUAAAACCAAUGUCAUACACUCUUGUGGAGAGGGAAAGCUAGUUAUUGUAAAAUUACUUUUCGAAUUUAAUCUUUUAGCUUAUAAAAUAGGAUACAAAUGACAAAAGUCAGAAUCGUUUUCUCAAAAAAAUAUUAAUUAAUUAAAAUAGCAACUUUUAAAAAUUGCUUAGAUUUGCUUUUAAUAUUACAAACUAGAUUCCAAUUCACACUUCUAAAGUGUGGAAUUCUUUUUUUUUUGUAAAAUUUAGUUAGAGAGUUGAUAUACUUUUUGUUUUUUUUAUCUAAUUUAUAUUUUUAUUAUAACUAAAUUUUACAGUUUAAGUUGUAAAAAUUAUCUCAUCAAAUCAGUAACAAUAACAACAAUAUAUUAAUAUCUACAAACUUCUCCGGGGAACAUCUAGACUGUGGUAGUCUCUUUGUGUGACGGAUAACAAGGUCAGUCAUCUGUUUCAAGAUACAAAUAAUCAAAUUUAGAGUCAAAAUUUCUUAUCUAAAUCGAGCAAUGUAAAUAUGGAGAAGAACCCUAGAUCGUUACUGUAGCCUCUAAUUUUUUAUCGACUGAAAACUAAAGAUUCGAAUCAAGGCUUCGAUUCCUUUUUAUCCUUUUUUUUUGUUGAGACGGUCAAAACUGAUUUGUCAUCUGACCGCCUCUGUUUACGGUUUUAGCAUUUAUCUAAAAUUUAAUGUAGAUAAAAAUAAUCUCAACCAUUCACACAAUUAUCUCAACCGUUUUUAGAAUUUUAAUUGAUGGACAAAUCUAAAAAUAGUUUUGUAGUAUUAUAAAAUUUGACUAGAAUGAUCAAGAAAAAAAUUGACUAGAAUAAUCACUAUAUACACAAAGAAUGAUAAAUAAUAUUAUAUUUACAUAAAAAACGUAUUUUGUAAAAAAAAAAAAUUUGGAAACUUAUUCAUGUAAAACCAAUGUCAUACACUCUUGUGGAGAGGGAAAGCUAGUUAUUGUAAAAUUACUUUUCGAAUUUAAUCUUUUAGCUUAUAAAAUAGGAUACAAAUGACAAAAGUCAGAAUCGUUUUCUCAAAAAAAUAUUAAUUAAUUAAAAUAGCAACUUUUUAAAAUUGCUUAGAUUUGCUUUUAAUAUUACAAACUAGAUUCCAAUUCACACUUCUAAAGUGUGGAAUUCUUUUUUUUUUGUAAAAUUUAGUUAGAGAGUUGAUAUACUUUUUGUUUUUUUUAUCUAAUUUAUAUUUUUAUUAUAACUAAAUUUUACAGUUUAAGUUGUAAAAAUUAUCUCAUCAAAUCAGUAACAAUAACAACAAUAUAUUAAUAUCUACAAACUUCUCCAGGAUAUUUUUGGUUUUUAUUUACAAAAUGUAAUUUAAUUUAAACUAUCUAUCUAUACUAUUAUUUAAGAAUUGAUUUCGCUUAUUUAUUACAUUUUUUAUGAUUUUAGGAUAAAUCACUAGUUCAAUUAAUUUAUAUUAUUAGAAAAUAUUUUAAUAUAUAUUUAUUUAUCAUAUAACUAAACUUAUUUAUGAUUAAGUUAUUCUUUAAUUUUUAGUUUCAAUUGUUGUAUAUUUUGAUUUACGUUACUAAUUUUAUUUGACAAUAUACACAAAAUGUUCUUUGAAUGAUUAUUUGAUCAGUGGACAGAAGCAUAUGGCCUUUAACAGAUCAUGGAUCCUACACAGUUGAAAGCGGGUACUGGUUGGCAGCCAACAAUUUCAACGCGUCUAUGUCUGCUUUAUCUCCAGGUGAAAAGACGAUCAUUGAUCCGAAGAAGAAGAUUUGAAAAUUCAAAACUCUGCCUAAGAUAAGAAUGUUUAUAUGGCGAGCUGUCUCUAGAGCGUUAGCAGUAGCAGAUAGACUUCAAACAAGAGGUGUGUGUAAGAUUAACUUUUAUGAUUUCAAUUAUGAAAUCUACCCAAGACCAAAAUAGAUUUAUCUUAAUUCAACCUUACUAGUUUUUCUAAAAGAAGAAGAGAGAAACACUAACCUUGAUCCAUGCUUGGAUACAAUUCCACCAAUUGAUCUUCUCGAUCCUUAACCUUUGACUUUCAAGAUUCCUUUGAUGGAGAGGAAUCAACCGUGUCUUUCUCUCUUUGACAUUGUCUUUUGUUACGUUAAUAUUAUUACCAAGGAGGGAACAUGUGGGUUAUAUAUUAUGUAAAUGGUUGUGAUGGUAAUGGUUGUGAUGGUUCACGACAAUUACCAUGUAACCACUUUUCUAUGUAGCCACAUUUUAUGUAACCCCCAUUUAUAUGUAUAUAGUAUCAUCUUUAUGUAGUUUAUAUAAACCAACUACAAAUACUAUAUACACAUAUAAAUAAACAAUAGAGAAAUACACUAAUACUAAAAUGGUAAGGAUAAAGGGUUAUCAAUACACCCGAUACUAAUAUUUUAAUUGAAACCAAUCUAUCACGGUAUCGUCUUUUAUAUUAGAAUCCAUAACAUUAAUAUGAACUUGAUCUUUAUACUGAACCAAUAGACACAUAUGUCAUAUAAGAAUAUAAAUAUUCUUACAGUGUGCUGAUAGACAUGGAAUGCAAGCAGUGCAACAAUGAAAUCGACUCUAUAAAUCAUGCUUUGUUUGAGUGUAUUCCAGCGCAAGACAUUUUACGGAUUGUUAACUUUCCUCCGUCUACAACGCCAGCUAGAAGUCUCGGUGAUAAUAUGAGUAUAGCUCUGGAGUUAAUGCAUGACUGUUCUGUUCCCGGAAACCUCUAGGAGAGCCAUUCCAUGGCUGCUAUGGACGAUAUGGAAGAACCGCAACUCGCUGGCACACAAACUGCUAUAGAUUCUGUAAUACUCAUAUUUUCCAAAAUAAAAUAACAAAUAAUAAUUCUGAAAUCUUUAUUUAUUAAUCUUCAUAAAUCAUCUCCAAACACCAUAAAUCUAAUAAAUAGUUAUAAAUCCAGAUAAUCGAAUAAAUUCCAAAAAUACGAUAAAAGCAUAAAAUCAAGUCAAUAAAAGAAAGAAAUAAAACGCCCAAAAACAUCAAUCACUCAUGUCAGUCAGUCUCACUUGAAAGAGAGAAAAAAAAAGAGGUGAGUAACAGGAAGGUCACUCAGUGAGGUAUAGGAUGUCAAACACGCAAACUACUGACUCGAGUAAAUAAAACUUCCACUAUAAAAGUGUAGCUCUAACAUGAACAACCAAGAUGCCUAAACCACCAUACACAACACACGAUGCGCUGAUAGAGUGCAUAACUAGAUCACGCACUCCGCAUUCUCUUUAUAUGGAUAUAUAAAUGUGCAUCGUCGCUAGUACAGUUUGUCUCUCUACCCCGUCCACCCCAGUAACGUCGAUGGUACAAAGGUUUUUGCACUACAUGCCCAACACAAGUAGCAUCGCUAGCCCAGAUAUCUCUGAACCCUCGCCCGCACAAUCACAGCAGCGUCGCUAGCCAAACAUCUUUGAGCCCCACCACGCACAUAGUCCCUACUCAUAAUUAUGUAUACAUAUAUACACAUAUAUACCAUAUUCUAACAACCACAAUCUAAUCAACGUUUGAAUCCUCUAGACCCCUAGUUCUGGUUUACAAUGAAUGAAAUAACUAUCAAUCACGACUCAUACAUGAUUCGAAAUCUGAAUUAACAUAGGAUGAAUUCUACACUAGUAAGAAAUUAUGGAAUAGAUCAUAACCUUAACCAAGAUCGGAGGUAUAUCAGGAAAUGCUAGGAUACCGAUGUGCCUUGUACAAACAAGACUUGGUCUAGGCCAUUACUGUCCAAGUCAAUUAACCCGAAAGAUCAUGUUUGUUCCUGCGCAUGACAUAUUAGGGUUUAUGUUCCAAGGAUUGCUUGCGCUACAAGAAAUAUAGGAUGUACCACUUAAUUAACAAAGCUCAAGCUCACGGUAAUAUAUACUUCAUCUCCGAUGACAUGACUUACUCCUCCUUGUGGCUCGUGAAGCCGUGAUCAACGAUGGUGGUGGUUGGUGUUAAACACCGCAGCUCCAUUUAUGGUCACGUCUUUUCUACGUCUAGUACGUAACUACCACAAGCACUGCCAACAAAAUUAUUAUCACAAAGCUUUGUCUCUGUUGAUUACAGCUAUGGUAUUUGGUGGUGAUAAUAACAUGACGUACCAAUAUUGAAGCACAUAAUCGGAUGUGGUGAUCGAGAGUGAGUGACGUAAGUCGUGAUGGAACGUGACGGCUCCGGUUUCACUUUCUCAUCUCGUCUUGAUCACAUUCCCACAACACCAAUCACAACAACGAUGGCUCUUCUCCAGUGAUGGAAGAGAACUUUGAUUUGAUGAGAAAAGGUGGAUGGAGAAGAAAAUGGUUCAGGGAUGGUUGAAUCUCCAUUGACGGCACAUAGCUUUAGGUUUUUUAGGAGGAGACUUAUAAUUAACAAUUAAAUAUAUAAUUAAGCAUAUGGUUUUACAAAACCACUAAGAAAUAACGAUUUAGGUUGUGGUCCAAUAAUUAAUCAAAACCGGGUCGUUACAGAAUCGUUGGUGGAUCAGGCGCUGGAGGAAGCUACAAUCUGGACUGGAGUUAACAAGAGUAAUGGACCAAGCUUGAUUCAUCCUUCUUCCAUAGAAAGUAUGUCAACGCUGGCAGGCUCCCAUCACAGCCAGGGUAAAAUGCAACGUCAACUCCAACUGGAGAAAUGCGUCAUCCUUAGAUCACAAGAGACCAUCAAGUUGAUGUUCUGCAUCAUGCCCGAGACGCUUUUACUCCAUCCCCGAACAGAUUGACUGCAGAACUUCGCUGUAUUAUCUGGUCCCUUCGGAGUUUGGGGGAUUUGGGCUUCAAGGAUGUAGUGAUCGGGGUUGACAACCAGGAGGCCAUAAAAGAAAUUUCUAAUGCUUCAGCAUGGCCACGCUACAGAUCAUUCUUGGAUACGAUUGCAGGUUUGCGCAAUUGUUUCAAAGCUGUACACUUUGAACAGGAAUCGAUGAAGACCAAUUUCAUUGCUCGGGAUAUUUCUCGGAGUGUUCUUAGAGAUGGCAGAUAUCGGACCUACUUGGCGCUAGGAGGACCAGCAUGGCUGCAUAACAGGAUCAGGAAUGAAGCUCUAACCAUUGAAUGUUAAAUCUUUCCCUUAAGAUCUUUCUAUUGGUUUUUGAGCUUUGUUCUGUUUUUCAUUUGGUUGUACUUCCUUGUGAUACACUGCACUACCUCUUAAUUGAGUUCAGACGUUUUAAGAAAAGGAAUGAUUGUUUGAAGUUCAUUAGACCAAGUCUCUUUCGCCUUCGACUUUCCUUGAAUUUUCUCAAUCUUAGCUUCAUUAUCACUAGUCUUUCUCUUUAUUACAUAUUUUUCCUUAAUUUUCUCUGCUCUUUUUCUACACCUAACUUCUCUCUUUUAGCCUUCUUAGCGUCCUCACCUGCUUCUGCAAGUGCUUUCAUUCUCGCAACCGUCUCUUUGUUUAUUUAUUCCAGCCUCUCUUAGCUGUUGUUCUUUGUUUCUUUGGCUUCCUCAAUCUCAGAAUUUCAGCUGCAACCCUUGUGUUAGCUUAUUCUCCAGCCUUACGAGCACACUUGCUAGGCUCAUCAUACUCCUCUACUGUCACAAUUAGGUUUGAAGACAAUCAACAUUUUUUGUCUUCAAUUCAUGUUCACUCUUGAAAGGCCUUGAUGGCAGCUAAUGCCAAACUCUCUGAUGUUUUAGAGCAUCUCCAAUGGUAAGCUUCUUUUUCUUUACUUCAAAAAUGCAAAAAAAUGAAGCACAUCUUCUCUAAUAGUUUGUUUCAUUUCUUUCUUGUAAAGGAAAGAUUCCAAGUAUAUUCAAUGUUCAUUUUAUUAUUAAUUAUUAAUAACACUUUGUACUUUUUCAUAUUUAGUAAUUUUACCUAAUUGUUUUGUUUUAACAAUAAUCCAACACAAUUAUUAUUUAAUAUAAAUUAAACAUUACUAUAUAAGAAAUUUAUUACAUAACAUGAAUAAACAAACACAUAAUACCAUAUUUUGUAAAAAAAACAUCUUACAUAUAAUUUUUUAAAUAAUUAAUAAAAGUGUUUAGAAGAAAAAUGUGAGUUUAUUUAUCUCCCAUUAUUUUAAAAAGAGUUAAAGCUCUUAAAAUGAAUAUCCUCAUGUUUUUCAAUAUAAAUAUCCAAUUAUAUGAAAAGAAUAGUCAAAAUUUUGAAAUUGAUUGGAUAAUAUUAAUACAUAUUAUUUAUUUCGACAAAAAAUAAGAAUAAAUAAAAAUUAAGAACCAAUUUAUAAUUUAGAAAAAUCAUGUUUAAAAAAUGAAGCAAUGAACAGUAUUGUUUCAAAUUUGAAGCACUGUUCAUUGCUUCAUUUUAAAUCAAGAAAUAAAACAUCAUUGGAGCACAGUUUGCUUCAAAACGAAGCAAAAAACUAGAAAAUGAAAUAUUAUUGGAGAUGGUUUUAGCAGCCUCGUUUUCUUUCUAAGCUGCAAAUAAACUGUUUUUCGUUGUAAUUGGUCCAGACUUUCCCUUGGACUCAGCAAGAACAUUUUUAUUGAGUCAUGUACUGUUUUUUUUCUUUCUCAAGUUUCAAUCUCAAGGAAGACAAGUCUACCUUUUAAGCAUUUUCCUUCAUAUGUUGUUUUCUCGAUAUUCACAUUCACUUCUUCGAGUUCCUUUUUUUGCUAAAGGAACAAUUGUUUGGAUAAUGUAUGGACAUGUCCUGUAAUGAGAUCUCCAUGGUUACUGCCAAGUCCCAUGUGUCCUCCUCCAGCUUGGAUGUUUGAUUACUGCGUUCUACAUAGAUCAAGUAACCUAAUGUGCAUGCACGCUACCACAAUCGAACGAUAUAUCGAUGUAGCAUUUUAUGAUCGAAUCUACAGAGAACUAAAGAUUUAUAACACCAAAAAUACGCAAGUUUUUUUAAUCUAAGCAAAUAGGAAAAUGAAAUGAAUCUAAACUAAUGAAAUAGAAUGACAACUAAAAACAACUAUAAGAUAAACAAAAAGACAAGUUCUUAGGUCAAAGUUAUUGAUUAAAAAGAUCAAAUGCUAUCUCAUGAUGCUUAAACAAACAAUUGCUAAUUUUUGGACUUAAGAUCACUAAUUUAAGCUAAUCCACUCAUGUGGCAAUAACUCCUAUACUAAUCAAGUUCUUAACAUCAAUUCCUAUUGGUUAAUUAACAUCAAGUAUGCAUGAAUUUCAAGUCUUAAUAAUCACUAAAUAUCUCUAGCAUCAACUCCCCUUGGCUAAAAGUAACUAAAGCACAUUGAUUAGUUCAUUCAAAUAUUUCAUCGAAUAGCUUCUAGGCAUGAAACAACAUAUGAUCUAGAUUAUAGUUUUCCAACCUUAAUCUAGCAUUAAUCACAUCAAUCAAGUAGAGAUCAUAGAGAUUAAAUCAUCCUAAUCUACUAAACCCAAAAACUCUUAAGAGUUUGGUAGUUAACCAGUCAUAAGUAUCCCGCAAACGCACAAAUUUCUAACCGCAUAACCAGUCGUACAAAUCUCUUAAAACCGCUAGAAACCGCAACCACCCGCAUCCGCAAACUCCCGCAACCGCAACCGCAACCGCUGCGGUUAAACCAGUCAGACCCUUACUCACUGAUUUCCAUGAAACCAAACAAACUCAUGAUAGAUUGUUAGAUAAACAAAAGAUUAAAAAAUAGAUAAACAAAUGUUAACAAAAUAAAUCAUUAAAUCAAGCAAGAUUCAAGAUUAGAACAAAAGAAAUUCAAAUAAAAUUAAGUUUAUGUAGUUUUUGGGUUUUUCUUGCCCUUAAAUAUCUAUUUAUAGAUUUUCUAAAUCAAAUCUAAUUAACCAGAUUAAACCAUGAAAAAUCUGGAUAAAAAGCUUAUUUUUAAAUGCCAAACGCAAUUUUUCCAGUCGCAAUAGCUAUCUUCCCAUCACUGCGUUUUCAUCAAUCUGCGUUUGUUUUUCUUCUCCACAGCGGGUUCAUCCUCCGGCUCCACUAAGCCGCUAUCAGAUUCGCUGCGUUCCCAGCGGCGUUGCAGAGCCGCUACAGCUGGUCGCUGUCCAUGAAACUUAAUCCUCAGCGGCAUCUCAUGCUCGCUAUACUAAACCGCUACAGCUUCUUAGAUGGAGAUACUGAGAUCGAUGGAUCGUCGUCACCAACACGGAGCUUGCUCCUCCGCGUGUUCAGGACCGCAAUCUUCGUCGUGUUCUGGGUCGUGCUCAGCUCCUCUCUCGUUGCCACAGCGUAUUUCCUCCAUGAAUUUAACAGGCCAUGACCAUCUCUUCUUCAUCCGCCGCGAUUAAAGCUUCUACUGUCGCCGGUUCAUCAUCAACGCCUCGCCGUCGUAGCCAACGGAGAUCGGGAUCUCGGGAAUCGCAGAGAAAGCUUGACCACGAGCAACCGUGGUCAACUUUAGCUUAUUUGCGCAUCUUGUCCUUUCUCUUUCAGAUAUUAUCAAAUUGACCCCGAAACCUUUGAAAGUCCUAAUACGUCCUCACGAAUCAACCCCAAACUUUCGAUUAAACAUUCUACACCUCCUCCUAAUUGAACAAUGGUCCCUCCUCUUCUGGUGUUUUUCAAAGCUGCCACAAACUUUGUAAUUUGCAAGAUUAACCUCACGAGUUUGCCCCAAACUUCUCAAACGUGCACUUUAGUUUCUGUCAGAUGCAAAUGAACAUAUAAAUGCACUAUAAAAACAUGAGAUAUCAAUGUUUCCAUAUGAUCAGACAAUUCAUUAAAAUAAUCAAUGAGCAACGCUGAAGCACCUCGCAUACAUGGAGUCUGAGUUUUCGUGGCACAUACAUAUAUAGUCACAGUCGGAGAUAUUUGCGACCAAGUUACCUUAGAGUUCGAGUGGCGCGUGAUAAGCUGUGGGUGCAGACUCAGUACUGGUCCUGAGAAUAUGAAGGCUAGAAGCAAAUUGGAAAUCAAGGACUGUUUAUUAUAGGUUACUAGGUGCUGAGACCCCACGCAAGCGCGAAGCUGGUUACUUUGGAUAUAUGUGGGAUGGUAUGAUUUACGGGAUGUUGUUGAUGUUGUUUAAGAUUUGUGCAAAUUAAUAAAAUAAAAUUUAUCGGAAAUAAAACAACAAAAUUGACCUUAGCUUUUGACGAUUAACUCAAGUUAGAGACAUCUACCAAAACGGAAAGAAAAUUCAAAAAGUAUAAUUAAGGUAAAAUAUAGAGAAUGUGAAAAAGGCCUAAACACGAAACAGAGAGCGUGGAACAACAGAAAGGGGAAGAGAAGAAGAUGAAGAAGCUUACGUCAGGUAUAUGAAAUUAAAAAGACAGAUAUUGUGACAGCGGAUCACCAACUUAUUUGGGGGUCCAUAUCUAGUUAUUUACUCUGUAUAUAUCCGUUGUUUGAAUAAAUACUCAAAGUUUCAAACUACUUACAUUACAAACUUAUUUUAUUUUUUCAAAAUAUACAUUGUUUGCUAGGACUUGUUAGGGAGCUCAAGGACCAUAGUAGCAUAUAUUAAAGCUACACUACUCUUCAUCGCUAAGAUCACACAAAAUCAAUAACUACUGGAAAGACUCUGUGAAGCAAACCUAACAUAUCAUUUGGGAAUAUCUUGUAGACUUUUUAACUGAUGGAUGUGUUUACUUGCCUGUCUAUAAAACUACUCACGCUCAAUAUAUUUGUGUAAAAGUGUGUUAGUUAUAGUGCAGCAGUCCAUUCAAUGUUUGAGAUACUAUCAACUGUAAAUGGUUUUUCAAAUAGCAAUAGUUAAAUAGCAAUCUAUAACACGACCCGUAACUCUGAAACAAGUUUAACCCGUCAACGAUUGAUUAAUAAUGCAAAACAUAGAUAGAAUAUCCGUCGAUAUGAAAUGACAAAAAGGGAAAAAACCAAAGUUGAUAAAGAGAAACAUAGCUAUUAGAAGUUUUUUUUUAAAACAUAGAUAGAGGUGUUGACGGGGUAUAGGAAUAGAUUCUCCCAACUACUCACUGCCACACUUGCAUUUCUUCUGUGCGUUUGCAUGCUCAGGAGGAGUUUCCGUAGCACAUUCCUCACCAGUCUUGUCUCCUAAAAUAGGGGGGCCAGAAGACGAAGCUGCCAGUCCGACGUUGUCCUCACUGUUUGAAGGAAUGCCCACAAAGUGUUCCUGAGUAAUACAAACGGGCAAUAUUAAAAAAUGAUGUAAGUAGCAAAAAUAUAACCAUGUUUAAUUAGAAAACCUUGACAUGGUUCGCUAUGGUGUCAUCGUCAGUGAUGGUGGAGACAGUGAAGGUGCGGUGGUUAGGAGUGAAGUUGAAAGGUAUGACUCGGAUCUGAAACACAAACUCCUUCUCUUCGAGCUCUUCAAGGAAACCUGGGAGACGCUCCUCUUCACCCUCAUGCCAUGCACCUACAGCAAAUAAGCAAUACUCCGAAGUAAUGUGGCCUGGAAAAAAAAUGCCAACACUAAUCUAAAUGUUUUUGCAUUGAGAAAAAAGUACCGCAUCGAAAGCAAGAACAGCAGCUUCCAGCUUGGUCAGUUUUGACAUCUCCUUAUCGAAGACAGAAAAUGUAGUGUUAUCUUUCCCAUCAUCAACGGCAAGCUCAACACGGAAUCUAAGAUUGAGCAAUGAAAGUAUUAGUAAACAUCCAUCAGAAUUGUUUAAAUCAUUGCUAAAGUGUAGAGAAACCUACCUGACGACACCAGUCACGUCAGAAGUCAUACAUCUGGUGCAGUUCAAGGAAUUUCCAUGUCUUUCCAAUUUUUUUGUGGCAAUCAGUGCAUGACACAAAUGACCACCCAUUUUCUUGAUUCACACAAACAAUCCGGGCCUUGUUGAGGAAAUCAGCCUCUUGGGUCUGCCACAACGUACUAUUUUAGUCACUGGGAACAAUGGAAGUUGGAGAUGAAGGAGUUGAGAUCCCCUAUCAAGACAAGUUCCUUUUUCUUGAUUCCUUCGAGAGUGUCAACACAUGUAUGAGCCGCAGUGGCGCCGACACUGCGUAUAAUAUCUUGAAACAUUAGAUCACAGAUAUUCUGAUUACUGCCUGCUUACAAACUCUGUUACUUCAGGGAGUCUGGUGUCAAAGAAGAACCUAGUUCCUUGUGUGGAGUUCAAAUACAGGUUCCCUGAUUAAGGAAAAAAACAAUUGUGAGCGGAAACUGCAUAUAAAAAGAGUAAGGCCAAAGAAUAAACGAAAACAUCUACUGUUUGAGAGAGCAGAUGAUUUUACCUCCAAACAGUUUUGGAUUAACUAAGGUCACCAACAGCACAGACUGGGAUCUAUACCCUGAUUUCAGAAGGCCCCGAAAGGUUGAAGCAGCCUCAUCCCACAGAGAUAGGUAAACGAUUACAGUCCUGUCAGAGGAGCAGAACCCAAUAUGUUUCAAGCAUAAAGUCAAACCUCACACAAUAUAAUUAUAUAUAGAGACAUGUUACAAAAAAAAAAGGUCAAAUCUCAGAACACAGUAAAAUUCUAGUAAAACAUGCUUCACAACUUGCAAGGAUAACAAAAUUCAAAAAUAACGUACAGUUCAAUCAAGAGACGGACAACAACUCUGCUCGUGGCUGAGAUGUUUUUGAGAUCAAACCCCUGCACAGAACAUAUUUAACCCACAACAUCUGGGGAGGGAAACUACUUUAGAAAUAAGUUAAGAUGAUGUAACUAAAAUUCCAAUAAGAAAGACAACACACUUGGAAGCUCCAAGUUGGUGUUGGCAAGCACUUGAAGGUGGUCAAAACGCCUCACCAAGAAUCUGUUGGACUUGAUCACAGGAGCGUCCAACUGGACUUCAACAAUACGUGUUGAAGGAAGGAAUCAGAUCAGGAACUGAUGCUAUGUGACCUUGUACAUGUGGGCCACCCUUGCAACUUCAAAACGGUCCAGUCUGACAAUAGAACCGGAUUUCAGAGAUGACCGGUACUGGCUGGCCCGGUUUGCAGGGAUGAAACUGUGGAUCACGGAAUCCUGUAAGAAAAACAGAGAAAAAUCAUUAGUUGUUCAUAAAAAACACAUAGACAAAACCAAAACAAAAACAUGAAGACAUGUUUCAUAUAUGAACAAAGAAUAAGCAAAACAGAGUUAAAGUGAAAAAAAAAUAAGUUAGAAACAAUCAUCACCAGUUCAUCAAGGAGGAGAAUGGUGAUGCCCAUAAACUCUCCAUUCUUGUUAAUGUUUCUGGAAUCCCAGAAUCGGAUGAGCCAACCAACAAUGGACUGAGUGGACCUUCCAAGGUGGAGAGAGUUGAAGGUGGAGUAGGGAACGACGGCAAAUGCGGCUGAAGCGGCUGGAGAAGUCAUUUUCGCGACGGAUGUGAGAAAGUAAAGCGAUCGGAAAACUGAAAAAGAAAAGUUUGAGACAAGAUGGAGCUUUUACCUCGAGGGAUUCUAUAUAUUGAAGAGCUCUGAAGGCAUUACAGGAGAAGCUAAGCGUUUGGUAGGCGCAGAACGUGCGUAGAGCCUUAAAGAUCGACCAUAAUAGCUGAUUGCCGGAAGGGGAAUCACAAGCUACGAAGGAGAUGGUGAAGAUGGCAGUGAUGCCCAUAAACUCUCCAUUCUUGUUAAUGUUUCUGGAAUCCCAGAAUCGGAUGAGCCAACCAACAAUGGACUGAGUGGACCUUCCAAGGUGGAGAGAGUUGAAGGUGGAGUAGGGAACGACGGCAAAUGCGGCUGAAGCGGCUGGAGAAGUCAUUUUCGCGACGGAUGUGAGAAAGUAAAGCGAUCGGAAAACUGAAAAAGAAAAGUUUGAGACAAGAUGGAGCUUUUACCUCGAGGGAUUCUAUAUAUUGAAGAGCUCUGAAGGCAUUACAGGAGAAGCUAAGCGUUUGGUAGGCGCAGAACGUGCGUAGAGCCUUAAAGAUCGACCAUAAUAGCUGAUUGCCGGAAGGGGAAUCACAAGCUACGAAGGAGAUGGUGAAGAUGGCAGCUUCCCUAAUCUUCUUAGCUUUGUCCGUAUCACCACUUUGGGCAGAUACAAAACCUAAUAAACAGAAAAUCAGCCCAAAACCCACUCUUGUCGAAACCCAUUCGUUACCCAUCAAUUUAAAAAAAAAGAGGUGGGGUCCACAAUGUUAUAUUAGUUUCCGACCUUCAUAAAUAUAUUAGUUUCGGUCAUCAAUGUACAAAGUAUGUUUAUAUCUCAAUAAUCCGGAUUUGAACCAUAGACUUGACAUUUUUCACACCUUUUAAAAGUGGGACCUACAGACCACUAACGUAUCGUCUCAAGAAUGAUGCAACUGCCUCAUUAUAUUAUAGAUUUUAGGAAAACAAAAUACUUUUGUUGCAAAUGUAAAAGAGAUGAUUUGAACACGUUACCUGGCUAUUAGAAAACAACUCUGUAGACCACUAAACUACUUGAGACGUUUGGUAAUUAAUGGCCGGCUAAAUACUUAGAUAAAACAAGGCCCGAAGCCUAAGCUUCUAAUACUUCCCUUCAGGGGUGGUAUUGGGUGCAGUUUAACUACUGUUGUAGACUAGCUAGCAGUACCUGUUUUGAGGGUGUGCGGAGUGCAUUUGUACUGAUUCCCACUUUUUUAAUGAUUUUUUAAAAAUAUUUUAGGGUCCAACAUUUCUGAAAAUUUGUGAAAUAAGGUUCAAAAUUUCACAAAAAUAGUUAAUACACCUUAGUUUGUUUCUGUUUUAUAUAUAACUAGGUGGACCGUCCGCACGCAUGUGCGGAUGAUAUCUUGCAUAUUUACAUUGUUUUAUCCAUUCAUCCAUGAGCAUUUUCAUCAUAUAGAUUAGGAUUUAGCCAUGUCUAGGUUGCAUUUUGCAUUCAUUGUCCUUAUUAGGUGCUGGAGUGUGCCAUGGAGUGAUUUGAGAUGUUUGGGAGCAUUGUGAUCCAAAAGGGGAUGAAAUAUGAGCAUGGAUGGAGCCUUUAGAGAAAUCUUCUGUUGCUAAGAUUUUGUGGAAACACAGAAAAUUUAGUUAGCUUUCUAAUGGAAGUGGUUUCAAGUCAUUUGGAGAUGUAAUGAAGGAGUUAUGAUCAAUUUACUAGAGGCAUAUCCAUCCUGGUCGAGCAUCGCAGAGUGACCUCUCAGAGCGACCUACCGAGGUCGCUCCCAGCCAGAGCGACUAGCUCAAGUCACUCCCAGCCAGAGCGACCAGCCAGAGCGACCAGCUCAAGUCACUCCCAGCCAGAGCGACCAGCCAGAGCGACCAGCUCAAGUCACUCGCGUUUUGACGCGGCGAGACACGAAAAAACGCGUCGGGAACGACCUCCUGGAGCGACUAUGCUAGGUCACUUCGCGUGUUUUGCUUGGACGAUUUUUAUGUUAUUUCAGGGGCCUUUUGGUCAUUUGUUUUGAUGUUUUACACUUUCUAAACCUAAGUUAAGUACUUGGUAAGCCAUUGGAGGCAAGAUAAUCUCUUUUCUAGAGAAGAACUAGUAAAAAACCUCUUUUGAUUCAGAUUUCAUUGCUUUCAUCUUGUGUUCUUGUUGAUUUCUUAUCUAUUUCUCUACAUGGUUAAUCUAAAAUCCAAUAUGGGUUUAAGAGGAAUCAUGGAGAUUAGUGAGUAAUCACCUUUUGAAUUCAUGGGUUAGGGAGAUUAAGGGUGAUUAGGUUAGUUCUAGGAUGUUUUAGUGUAGAUCAUUCUUGUUCCUUGCUAGUAGAGUAUUCAUAAUGCAUCUUCUGAGUUGGCCACUCAAAAGUUGAUCAAUAGACAUUUCCCACCCAAAAGGUGUUUGAUGAAAUGCCUGAGACAACUCUCCUAGGCUUUUAGUAUACUUUGCCAAAGACAUUUGUUGUUAAAGGUGCUAAGAUAGCUAAUAGACUUGUUAGUAAUGAUUGCUUUCAUAUUAUUCAACCAAAGACAUUUGAUGUUUGAGAUGUGUUAGCAAAUGAGCAUUCAUCUAGACAUAGAGCUUGCUUAGAAUUGUGUCUAGGCUUAAGGUUGAUAGUUUGAUUGAUCAUUUGCCAUCCUUAGUUCGAUACUUGAUCACCCAAGGUCUAAUCCCUAUGCCCAUGAGUUCUCUUUUCCCUUAGUCAAGAAGUAUCAUUCUGUUAUUGCUUUCUAGUUUUAGUCAUAGCUUAAAACCCAUCUAAAUCAUUGGUUGCACUUAGAUUAAGUGAGUACUUGCAUUCUCAGUGCUUUGAUAUCCCUCAGAACUGGUUCGACAAUCUUUUAUACUACAACAUUUGUCUUAGGAGCCUUGAAAACUCCUAACAUCAAAUUGGCGCCGUUGCCAAAUUCUGAGUAGAUUUGAACAUUGAGAUUUAGUCACUUGCUUGAGACUAAGUCAUUUUUAUUUUCUUUUGUUUCUGAUUCUCUUCCUUCACCUCCCUUUAAUCUACAGGUGUAUGAACUUGAGGAGCAGGGGUCCAUCAAACCUAGUUCCAAGAGCUGCAGACAUCAGAGCUUUAGAGAGAGAAAGUGCUAGAAAGAGAAGAGAAGAAGAGCAACAGGCUCACUUACAGAGAUUGGACACUGAUAUGGAAGACAUACCUCAAAAUGAUGCGGGCGUCAAUGGAGCUAACAACGUUCCACAAAACCAACAGCGAGCAGCUCGACCCAUUGGCACUUACGACCGCCCCAACAUUCAUGGUCAUAGAUUGGGAAUCCGAGCACCAGCUGUGGCAGCCAACAACUUUCUAUCAGCCUCAGCAAAACCCCUCGUCUGGUUCCUCUGCUCCUCAAGAGAGCAGCACUGAUACCUUACUGAAACAAAUCUUGGAGUCUCAGACUAGAAGUGAGAAGCAUGUUGGUUAUGAGUUGAAGAACCUUCAUUCCAAGAUUGAUGGGAGCUACAAUGAGCUCAACAACAAGUUCUCACACCUUGCUUCUACAGUCAAGAAUUUAGAGAAUCAGUUUGCUUCCAUGAACACUCACCAGAAUCGCCAGCAAGGAUCUCUACCUGGAAAAUCUGACCAAAAUCCCAAGGAGGCCAAAGCUAUCACCUUUACGAGUGGUAAACAGUUACCUCCUAGAACCCUCACCAAGGAUGCUUAGAAACUAGGUGAAGAGGUGGCCAUCAACUUAGAUGAUGAUGUGGUAAUUGUUGAUGAGAAGACCAAUGAUGAGAUUUUGGAGAAGGUUAUGGAAGCUAAAGGUAAAGAAAGGUUGGAGAGAGAAGAAAAUAAUACAAGAUGGUGAAGUUGCUGUUCCAACAAGUGAGAAUGUUUUUGUUCCUCCUCCCUAUGAACCCAAGCUUCCAUUCUCAGGUAGAUUCAAGAGGCAUCUGCUAGAAAAAUAUAAGGCUCUGUUUGAGAAGCAAAUGAGUGAAGCUCAGGUUGCAAUGCCCAUCAUCGAUGCUUUUAUGUUGAUUCCUCAAUACAGUAAGUUUUUGAAAGAUGUUGUAGCUGCAAAGAAGAAGGAGAUGGAAGGCAUGAGAAUUUAGAGAAUCAGUUUGCUUCCAUAAACACUCACCAGAAUCGCCAGCAAGGAUCUCUACCUGGAAAGUUUGACCAAAACCCCAAGGAGGCCAAAGCUAUCACCCUUAGGAGUGGUAAGCAGUUACAUCCUAUAACCCUCACCAAUGAUGCUGAGAAACUAGGUGAGGGGGUUGCCAUCAACAUAGAUGAUGAAGUGGUGAUUGUUGAUGAGAAGAUCAAUGACGAGAUCUUGGAGAAGAUAGUGGAAGCCAAAGGUAAAAGAAAGGUUGGGGAAGAGAAAAAGACAGUAAAGGAUGGUGAAGUUGUAACUCCAGCAAGUGAAAGUUAUUUUGUUCCUCCUCCUUAUGAACCCAAACUUCCAUUCCCUGGUAGAUUCAAGAAGCAGCUGCUAGAGAAGUACAAGGCUCUGUUUGAGAAGCAAAUGAGUGAAGCUCAGGUUGCAAUGCCCAUCAUCGAUGCUUUCAUGUUGAUUCCUCAAUACAACAAGUUCCUGAAAGAUGUUGUAGCUGCAAAGAAGAAGGAAAUGGAAAGCAUGAUGAUUCAUACCCAUGNNNNNNNNNNNNNNNNNNNNNNNNNNNNNNNNNNNNNNNNNNNNNNNNNNNNNNNNNNNNNNNNNNNNNNNNNNNNNNNNNNNNNNNNNNNNNNNNNNNNNNNNNNNNNNNNNNNNNNNNNNNNNNNNNNNNNNNNNNNNNNNNNNNNNNNNNNNNNNNNNNNNNNNNNNNNNNNNNNNNNNNNNNNNNNNNNNNNNNNNNNNNNNNNNNNNNNNNNNNNNNNNNNNNNNNNNNNNNNNNNNNNNNNNNNNNNNNNNNNNNNNNNNNNNNNNNNNNNNNNNNNNNNNNNNNNNNNNNNNNNNNNNNNNNNNNNNNNNNNNNNNNNNNNNNNNNNNNNNNNNNNNNNNNNNNNNNNNNNNNNNNNNNNNNNNNNNNNNNNNNNNNNNNNNNNNNNNNNNNNNNNNNNNNNNNNNNNNNNNNNNNNNNNNNNNNNNNNNNNNNNNNNNNNNNNNNNNNNNNNNNNNNNNNNNNNNNNNNNNNNNNNNNNNNNNNNNNNNNNNNNNNNNNNNNNNNNNNNNNNNNNNNNNNNNNNNNNNNNNNNNNNNNNNNNNNNNNNNNNNNNNNNNNNNNNNNNNNNNNNNNNNNNNNNNNNNNNNNNNNNNNNNNNNNNNNNNNNNNNNNNNNNNNNNNNNNNNNNNNNNNNNNNNNNNNNNNNNNNNNNNNNNNNNNNNNNNNNNNNNNNNNNNNNNNNNNNNNNNNNNNNNNNNNNNNNNNNNNNNNNNNNNNNNNNNNNNNNNNNNNNNNNNNNNNNNNNNNNNNNNNNNNNNNNNNNNNNNNNNNNNNNNNNNNNNNNNNNNNNNNNNNNNNNNNNNNNNNNNNNNNNNNNNNNNNNNNNNNNNNNNNNNNNNNNNNNNNNNNNNNNNNNNNNNNNNNNNNNNNNNNNNNNNNNNNNNNNNNNNNNNNNNNNNNNNNNNNNNNNNNNNNNNNNNNNNNNNNNNNNNNNNNNNNNNNNNNNNNNNNNNNNNNNNNNNNNNNNNNNNNNNNNNNNNNNNNNNNNNNNNNNNNNNNNNNNNNNNNNNNNNNNNNNNNNNNNNNNNNNNNNNNNNNNNNNNNNNNNNNNNNNNNNNNNNNNNNNNNNNNNNNNNNNNNNNNNNNNNNNNNNNNNNNNNNNNNNNNNNNNNNNNNNNNNNNNNNNNNNNNNNNNNNNNNNNNNNNNNNNNNNNNNNNNNNNNNNNNNNNNNNNNNNNNNNNNNNNNNNNNNNNNNNNNNNNNNNNNNNNNNNNNNNNNNNNNNNNNNNNNNNNNNNNNNNNNNNNNNNNNNNNNNNNNNNNNNNNNNNNNNNNNNNNNNNNNNNNNNNNNNNNNNNNNNNNNNNNNNNNNNNNNNNNNNNNNNNNNNNNNNNNNNNNNNNNNNNNNNNNNNNNNNNNNNNNNNNNNNNNNNNNNNNNNNNNNNNNNNNNNNNNNNNNNNNNNNNNNNNNNNNNNNNNNNNNNNNNNNNNNNNNNNNNNNNNNNNNNNNNNNNNNNNNNNNNNNNNNNNNNNNNNNNNNNNNNNNNNNNNNNNNNNNNNNNNNNNNNNNNNNNNNNNNNNNNNNNNNNNNNNNNNNNNNNNNNNNNNNNNNNNNNNNNNNNNNNNNNNNNNNNNNNNNNNNNNNNNNNNNNNNNNNNNNNNNNNNNNNNNNNNNNNNNNNNNNNNNNNNNNNNNNNNNNNNNNNNNNNNNNNNNNNNNNNNNNNNNNNNNNNNNNNNNNNNNNNNNNNNNNNNNNNNNNNNNNNNNNNNNNNNNNNNNNNNNNNNNNNNNNNNNNNNNNNNNNNNNNNNNNNNNNNNNNNNNNNNNNNNNNNNNNNNNNNNNNNNNNNNNNNNNNNNNNNNNNNNNNNNNNNNNNNNNNNNNNNNNNNNNNNNNNNNNNNNNNNNNNNNNNNNNNNNNNNNNNNNNNNNNNNNNNNNNNNNNNNNNNNNNNNNNNNNNNNNNNNNNNNNNNNNNNNNNNNNNNNNNNNNNNNNNNNNNNNNNNNNNNNNNNNNNNNNNNNNNNNNNNNNNNNNNNNNNNNNNNNNNNNNNNNNNNNNNNNNNNNNNNNNNNNNNNNNNNNNNNNNNNNNNNNNNNNNNNNNNNNNNNNNNNNNNNNNNNNNNNNNNNNNNNNNNNNNNNNNNNNNNNNNNNNNNNNNNNNNNNNNNNNNNNNNNNNNNNNNNNNNNNNNNNNNNNNNNNNNNNNNNNNNNNNNNNNNNNNNNNNNNNNNNNNNNNNNNNNNNNNNNNNNNNNNNNNNNNNNNNNNNNNNNNNNNNNNNNNNNNNNNNNNNNNNNNNNNNNNNNNNNNNNNNNNNNNNNNNNNNNNNNNNNNNNNNNNNNNNNNNNNNNNNNNNNNNNNNNNNNNNNNNNNNNNNNNNNNNNNNNNNNNNNNNNNNNNNNNNNNNNNNNNNNNNNNNNNNNNNNNNNNNNNNNNNNNNNNNNNNNNNNNNNNNNNNNNNNNNNNNNNNNNNNNNNNNNNNNNNNNNNNNNNNNNNNNNNNNNNNNNNNNNNNNNNNNNNNNNNNNNNNNNNNNNNNNNNNNNNNNNNNNNNNNNNNNNNNNNNNNNNNNNNNNNNNNNNNNNNNNNNNNNNNNNNNNNNNNNNNNNNNNNNNNNNNNNNNNNNNNNNNNNNNNNNNNNNNNNNNNNNNNNNNNNNNNNNNNNNNNNNNNNNNNNNNNNNNNNNNNNNNNNNNNNNNNNNNNNNNNNNNNNNNNNNNNNNNNNNNAAUCAUGGAGAUUAGUGAGUAAUCACCUUUUGAAUUCAUGGGUUAGGGAGAUUAAGGGUGAUUAGGUUAGUUCUAGGAUGUUUUAGUGUAGAUCUUUCUUGUUCCUUGCUAGUAGAGUAUUCCUAAUGCAUCUUCUGAGUUGGCCACUCAAAAGUUGAUCAAUAGACAUUUUCCACCCAAAAGGUGUUUGAUGAAAUGCCUGAGACAACUCUCCUAGGCUUUUAGUAUACUUUGCCAAAGACAUUUGUUGUUAAAGAUGCUAAGAUAGCUAAUAGACUUGUUAGUAAUGAUUGCUUUCAUAUUAUUCAACCAAAGACAUUUGAUGUUUGAGAUAUGUUAGCAAAUGAGCAUUCAUCUAGACAUAGAGCUUGCUUAGAAUUGUGUCUAGGCUUAAGGUUGAUAGUUUGAUUGAUCAUUUGCCAUCCUUAGUUCGAUACUUGAUCACCCAAGGUCUAAUCCCUAUGCCCAUGAGUUCUCUUUUCCCUUAGUCAAGAAAGUAUCAUUCUGUUAUUGCUUUCUAGUAUUAGUAGUAGUUUAAAACUCAUCUAAAUCAUUGGUUGCACUUAGAUUAAGUGAGUACUUGCAUUCUCAGUGCUUUAAUAUCCCUCAGAACUGGUUCGACAAUCAUUUAUACUACAACAUUUGUCUUAGGAGCCUUGAAAACUCCUAACAUCAGCGGGCAUUAACAUUAAAAUUAAAUUGAUAUUAUAUUUACAACUAUAUAAUACUGAUGUAUAUGGUUAAUAUGAAAGAUUCAAUGUUACAUAUUGAUAUUUAUACUAUGUUCAUAUGAACAAAGAAUACAUUAGAACGUUUAGAAAACGAUCACAUUUAACACUAAUCUUAAAACAUCAGAAAAAUAUAAUUGAGAAAAAAUAAAUAUUUCACGCAUAACCCCAAUAAAAAAUCAGUCAUGAAAUAUAAAAGGGAGAUUUGAAUUACCUGCGAUUUAUUAUCAUUGGUUUCAUUGUAACAGCAUAGAUUAUUUACGGUUUCCUUCUCUAAGCUUUGAGUCAGAAAAGAGGUAAUUCUAACAAAAAUAUUUAAAUAUGUAAACAAUUCCCAAUGAAGAGAACAAAAAUAAACGGAGAAGAAGAAUCUCCCAUAAAAUUACCAGUAAUGGUGUUUCCGUCUAUGAGUUACUUAUUGAUUAUCAUACACCUGCGCAAGAUCACAAAAGUAGAAUUUAAAUUAUAACGAUAAAAAGUAUAUGAGCUUGAUAAGUGAUUUAACUUUAUAAAAAAAAGAAUUACUUUUUUCAAAAUGGAUGAUCAGUUCCUAGAUAAAUAGAGUCGUCUCUUUUUGUUAGUUGAAUCACUACUGAUGCAAAAAUAUAGAUACAGAUACAACAUGGAGAGGAAGAGAACAAAAAUAAACAGAGAAGAAGAAUCUCCCAUAAAAUUACCAGUAAUGGUGUUUCCGUCUAUGAGUUACUUAUUGAUUAUCAUACACCUGCGCAAGAUCACAAAAGUAGAAUUUAAAUUAUAACGAUAAAAAGUAUAUGAGAACUUAAAAGAUAGAUACGUGAAACUAAUGGGGGUGGCGUGAUAUUUAUAUAGCAAAUUAGUUUAAGUUUCUAAAUAACCUAGUUUUCAAGAGAAGCUAUGAGAUAUAAUAUCCUCUAAUAAAUUUUAGUUCAGCUAUGAGAUAUAAUAUCUUCUAAUAAAUUUUUUAAAAUAUUCUGGUUAUAAUAUAUAUAUAAUUUUGGUAACUCAAUCUUGUUAUAUAUAUAUAUAUAUAUAUAUAUAUAUAUUUAAAUACUAAAUGCAUGAUAUUAGGAAAGAAAAUAUCUCGUCAGUUGAUUGCAACUGGUUUUUGAUAAAACAAAUCUCACUAUAAAGAUUUAAAUAAUAGAUAAUAAGGAAAUAAUAAGGAAUUUUAACGUUAAACCCUCCAACUAAGUUUGUUUAGGGCAAAAACCCUCAAACUAAGUAUUUAACAGAAAAACCCUCUAAACUAACUUUAUUUAAUGAAUUAAACUCUGAUAGGUCAUAAUUACUAGUACUACGAGUAAAUUUUUAGUUUAGAGGUUUCUACGCUAAGUAAACAUAGUUGAGGAAUUUUACCAUUAAAAUGAAAAAAAUUCAAAAUAUUGUAAUAGGAGGACAAAUUUUUAAAAUACAUUUUAUAAAUUAAUGUAUAAGCUUCUAUAAAUGACUUGGAACCUCUUAUAAUAAUCUAAAAUGUCUGAUUUUUAUAAAUGCAUUUAUAAUUUUAUAAAUGUAUUUAUAAUUUUAUAAAUGAUUUAUAAAGUAUGCAUUGAAUUAUUAGACAUUAAUAAUUAUUAUGAUACUUUAUAUACAAAUAUAAUUCUUUUUGUACGAAUAUAAAAUCAUUAUAUCAAUUCAAAUAAACACUUUUGUGUAUUAUUUUAUGUAAUUUAUAAAUAUAUAAAAAAAAUGAUCGCAUUAUUAGUCUUUCAUAGUUUCAACAAUUAGUUACCAUAAAUAAUUAUUUCUAAUAUUAUGUAGACUAUUUGGAAAGUGGUAGUUGAAUUAUCCUUUCCUUUUAGAUAUAAUUAUAAUAAAUAAAAUUAAAAAUCAUUGGUCAAUCAAAUUAUAACAAUUUGAAGAGUUCAUUUAUGAUCAACACAUAAUAAAAAAAUCACUUAUGUGACUUCUCAAUCAAUAUAUAGUAGAAUUUAUAUUUUUAUAAAUAAUUUAUAACAUUAUAUAAAUAAUUUUAAAAUUCUGAUAAAUUUAUUCUGUAAACAACGAUAAAUAAUUUAAAAAUCAUAUUAAUAAACAUGUUUGGAUUUUGUAAUAUUUUAAAUAGUUAUUAUAUAAUUAUAUUUGAAUGCAAUUCAUCAAGUAGAAUAUAAAACUAUUAUAAUUAUCUUAUAUAAAAAUUUGUUCAUUAUAUUUUAUAGUUAAUAAAUAUUAAAAGUAAUAAAAUAUAACAUUAUUAAUCUUUCUAUAAUUUCGAGAUUUAGUUGCCAUAAAUUGUUAUUUGUAAUAUUCUUUAGAUUAUAUGGCAAGUGAUGUUAAAUGUUUUUAGAGUUAUCUUAAAUUUUUAGAUCUAAUUUAAAUAAAUAAAAAUUAAAAAUAAUCGACCAAUCAAAUUAUAACAAUUUUUUUGAAAUUUCACAUAUGAGCGACACGUCAUCAGAAAUCACUAAACUUUUAAUGUAUAGGGGGAUUGCACAAGGGCCAAACAAUUUUUGAGCCGGGCAUGUAGUCUUGCUGGAAAUAAGAUGAAAUGAGCAGUUUUGGAGCUAGGUACACAAAUAUUGAGCUAUGAAUGCUUGAAUAGCUGGCAUCUCAAAGUUGGUUUUGUGGGUGUUUUCACCAUCCAUGGACAGCUAUCAAUUAUUAUUAUUCAAACGUGAAUUUUAAAAAAACUCUAAAAUGAUUGAAUCUGACAUUUCAUAAAAUAUUAUGAACUUCACUAUUAUUUUUGUUGAAAACCUGCUGACGGCUAGGACCUAGGAAUAUAUUUCCUAGUGUAAAUAUCUGGCUUUAUUGUAGUGUGGGAGUAAGAGUUAACAAGCGACGUCAAGUUUCCUUCAGAAUCGUGGUUGCUCUUUUGUGUUCGUAAUUUCCUUUUGCUUUAUUGAUUAUGAUAUUUCGUGACUUGUGUCUUUUCUUUUCAUUUAGAUAAAGUCGGCUUUCAAUAACAAAACAAAUGCUUGCUUCAUUGUGUUCGUAUACGAGAUUACUUUCGGCAGAAGGCCAUGCUCCAGACAGAGCAGAGGAUUCAUUGGUUUGUGGAAGUAGGUUGUGGCCUUACGCAGAUAUGAGGAGGGUAGGAAAAAUACCAAAACUGUUGCCACACCGACUUUUCCCAUCAGCAAGGUGAGUCUUAUGUGAUAGUGGUAACUCUCAUUUUGUUGGUCUAACUAGCACAUAAUAUAUAACUAACUUGUCACGCCAAGCCACUAGUUUUUCAUUCUGAUCAACACAAAACAAAAGUCGUGUGAAGAUUAAAAAUAAGUUCUAUGAACGUACUGAAUGAGAUAUGCAAUACCCACCGAAAAGCUUCUCAAAUCGGACCAAUUUUGUAUCAACACACAAAGAAACUCAUGCGAGUGGUUUAUUCUUUACUCACGUUCUCGUCGUCUAUCAUAUAAGACCAUCACCUUCCUCAGACCUCAGCCUCAUCGACAUCAUCAUCAUCAUCUUGGUUUGGGACCCCCUCGUUUUGAAUCUCCUCGUUUUGAACCAAAGCGACUUCAGCAAUGUUCUCCUGUUGCACAGCUGCACCGUCAAUUUCCGCAGCUACACCAUCAGCAAUAACCUGCAUGUUAACGUUCUCCAUCAUAAGAGUAUUACAGAGUUCCAUGAACUAGAUUUUUAAGUUCCUUAUUCUUUGUUUUGUGUAUGUCACAGAUAAGAAAGACGUAAAACUAUACAAACGCACUGCAAAGAAUUCUACAAGACUGGUUUUAGAAUUUACCGCAUGUUCCAUGAUCAUAUCUUCACCGUUCACAACAGCAAUGUUAUCCUGUUGCAAGCAAAAUUUUCUAACCAUAAGUCAAGUAUCGAAGAGUGCAAAGACCUAGAUUUCUAAUUUAUAUGUCACAGAUCAUAGGAGAAACGUAACAUUAUAAAGAAGUUUACAAGACUGUGAGUAAUUAAUUACCUCAUGUUCCAUGAUCAUAUCUUCACCGUUCACAACAGCAAUGUUCUCCUGUUGCACAUGAGCUGCACCAACGUUUUGCUGAAAACGUUCUAACCAUAAGUCAAGUAUCGAAGAGUGCAAAGACCUAGAUUUCUAAUUUAUAUGUCACAGAUCAUAGGAGAAACGUAACAUUAUAAAGAAGUUUACAAGACUGUGAGUAAUUAAUUACCUCAUGUUCCAUGAUCAUAUCUUCACCGUUCACAACAGCAAUGUUCUCCUGUUGCACAUGAGCUGCACCAACGUUUUGCUGAAAACGUUCUAACCAUAAGUCAAGUAUCGAAGAGUGCAAAGACCUAGAUUUCUAAUUUAUAUGUCACAGAUCAUAGGAGAAACGUAACAUUAUAAAGAAGUUUACAAGACUGUGAGUAAUUACCUCAUGUUCCAUGAUCAUAUCUUCACCGUUCACACCAGGCUCAUCAUCUUCACUCAAAGUAUCCUCGAUCAACUGGAUAAGCGCCUGCAUUUCAGCAUCUUCAUCUUCUUCUUCUUGAACCGCCUCGUUUUCGUCGUGUUGGAGCAUCGCCUCGUUUUCGUCGAAUUGGAGCAUCGCCUCGAAAUUUUGCUGGACGUUUGCGUUCUGAACCAGAUUAUGUGGCAUGUUCCCGUUCUGAACCAGAUUAUCCUGAACGUUCGCGUUCUGAACCAGAUUAUGAUGUGCGUUCCCGUUAGCGUCGACGUUAUGCAGCUCCGGAAAGGCGCCAUCUCCGCCGCCAUUGCCGUUUCCAUUGGGAUGAAGACGAUAGGUUCUUGGCUGAGUUCUUGAUGUUAUUGUUCUCUAUUUAUGUACGUUAGUGAUAAGGGAAAGUGGAAACUCGCAACUCGAGAUUUUAAACGAGCAAAACUUGUAUUCCAAGAAUUACCAUGCAGUUCUUUGUCAAACAAAAAAAAAAGAAAUACGAGAAAGUUUUCUUCUUCUUUUUUUCUUUAGUGGCACCAGGCCUAAAAAGGCGAGGCCCCAACAAAAGUAAACACAAAGGGGCCAACAGAAGCCCAAUACAAUCACAUGGUGAUCACACCCUCUUUACAAGAUUCACAAUGGAAUUUUCAUUGCUACUCUGGCUUAUGUGCAUGAUAAUCAUCACAACCAGUGAAUCCUACAUUGCAGAUUCAAUUGAAUGAUUUCUUCAAGAUCACAAAGAUCUUGGUAAUCUCCAAUACUUUUUUGGUCACAAAUUGCUCGAUCCUCCAAAGGUAUUUCAGUCUGUCAACAAAAGUAUGUCUUGGAGCUCAUACAUGAUUCCUUGGUUGUAAACCAUCCUCUAUAUCUAUGGAACCUAAUCACUCAUUGCACAAGGAUAAUACUCCUCUCUUGACAGAUGCAGAAGGUUACAAACGAUUCAUUGACAAGCUUUAAUAUCUCUUUUCAACUUGUCCUGACAUCAAUAUGUUGUCACUAAACUUUGCCAAUUUUGUUAGGCUCCCAGAGAGGUACAUUGUCAGGCUGCUCAGAUAUCACAGUGGAAGUAUUGGAGCAGGUCUUUUCUUUUCAUCUGAUUUAGAUUGGAUAGUAGAUCCAUAUAUUAGACUAUCUGUUUCAAGCUUUUUUUAUCUUUAUUGGUGACUCUAUUAUCUCAUGGAAAAUAAAGAAACAUGACACUUUUCAUUGACCUCAACUGAGGCUGGAUAUAGAGCUAUGUGUUUUGCGACAAAGGAACUUAUCUAGCUUACCAGUAUUCUGAAGGAUCUCCAUAUACUUUCACCUUUUCCAAUUUUCUUAUACUACGCGACAGGCUGCAUUUCACAUUGCAAAGACCCAUGCCUUCCACGAGAAAACGAAGAAUCUAGACCUUGAUUGUCAUAUGGUACACGAGUUAUCACAUCAUGCUUCUUAAAGACACUACAUGUUCGAAGUGAGCAUCAACUUACAGAUGGUCUUACUAAGCCAAUGUACCCAAUUCAGUUCAUAAAUAUAUCUCACAUUUCCAAAAUGGGACGUCUUAACCUUUUACGGUAUUGGUCGAGUAAAGUUUACUUAAUUAUUUAUUUUGGGUUUCCCGGUUCACUCGUAAAGCUUGUAUGCGUCUGGUUUCUUUUUGUUUUAUGUUUUGUGUUCAUUGAAAGAGUGAAAUUCAAUAGUGCGUCCUGCGUAUUGAAUCAGCUCGUCUUCAUGAGCCCUAAAUUUAAAUCUCCACUAUAAGCUGAUGUUGAUUUAAUCUCAUAAACGCCAUACAUAGAAGUGGAUUUUCUUUAUAUUUAUCUGUUUACGUUAGACAGAUUACAAUCUCUUUAUCUCGGACCACACAGCAUGAAGAUUCUCAGUAGAAUCAAGGACAGCUCCACUUCCUACCUGAUUCUGCCACUCGUCCCGUUUCUCAGCCAAACCGUCAUCUUCAAGCAUUCGAACAAAGUCAGACAUCAUAGGCCGUUGCAUUGGUGUGCAGAGAAGAGCCACUUGUAUGAGCUGUUCUACUUUUGCUUCUGUGUAAUUUACGUGCAUGUCAGGAUCCACAAGCAUCUCCAGUUUCUUCUCCUUCAAAAGCCAUUUCAUUUCACAUGAGAAAGAAGAUCAAAUGAGAGAUUAAGCUUUUGAGAGUUUAUUAAUGGGCCUCUAACAGAUAAUCAAUACCGAAUCUAGAAGGCAUAACGUCAUCGUCAUUAGCCAGCUUUGCAAGAUCAAAAGCUCUCUAAUCUGUGAUCAGUUCCAAAAGCAUGAUCCCGUAGCCUGAGUAGAUUUCUGUGAACAGCCAUUGCUUAUCAUCUCCACUUCUGUUUGAAACUGGUGAUCACCACCUGGUGUGCGCUCUUCUUCUUCAAGCCGUUUGACUGCCACAAGUGCUCCAUCAGCAAGACGGCCUUUGUAGACUUUACCGAACCCACCUCGUCCCAAGAUGUUUUUUUAUUGCAAAAGCUAUCAGUUGCUACUUGAAGUUCCCGUAGAGAGAACCGCUUAAGCUGCCCCAAUUUGAAUUCUACAACCCCUUUGCAACUGGUUCAGUCAUCUAUCGAAAAGGUAUGAUUGUCUUAGAAACAAUAUAUAUAUAUAUAUAUGCUUCGUUUGGUGUCCAAUAAGAUUCGAGUCUCUCUUUUGCAGAAGAGGGUGAAAGCGAAAGAGCUAUCCAAGAAGACAAAAGGGCUGAGAAAGAAGUCUUGGCCUCAGACAUGGGAAGGUGUCCAGCUCUUGUUUGCUGGGACCAAUUUAUCAUGUGUUGUCGUUUGGAUGUGAGCACAUAUGAAAGAAUCCAAUGUUGUCUUGUUGAUGGGAGGCUAGAUCUUAUGAUGGUGAUGGACAAAUCUUAUUCUUCUUCCAUCACUUUCUUUGUUUUUGGACAAAGUCUUGAUGUGUCAUUAAAGAACUUUUCUUUUCCUUACCAUCAUGCUUCAUAUUUAAACCAAAUCCUAAGAACUAUAAAUGAGAACAUUAUAAAUCUGAAUACUUCUUCUGUUUUUAAAGAUUAUUACUCGUAUAAUUCUUGUAAAAAUUCUAGUUAGUGGCAAAAAGAAAAGAAGAAAAAUAAACAAAAGUGUGUAUUGUGUGUAUUUUGGUGGUAGCGAGCAAACAGGCAACAGAGACAGAGCCACGUGAACGUAUCUCUUUCAAUUACAAGUCUCAACACGUGUCGAACCUAGUCAUCACUUUUAGAACAAAUUGACGAAAAAGGGCUUGCGGUACCACCAUUAUCAAAACCAUACAGGGGGUGUUCCAGUCAUUACCUAGUUAAGAGGACGUCUUCGUGUGCGAAUCCGUCGUGAUUCUUAAUUAAGUUUUGGUUAAUGUUUUGUUAAAAUACGUAAAAAUUAAAGAUUAACAUCCCAAUAAUUGCCUUUAGAAAUUAAAGAAAAAAAACAUUAACUCUUGACUUGGUGACUCGACGAAAGCCUUGGAGACAAACUUUUCAAAGGGGUUAGUUUUAAUCUCUCUGGGUCUCAUCUCAUCGCUGCAACAAUUUCAUAUCAAGAAAAAAAAACACUUUCAUGGAGGCUUAAACAUCACCACCAUCAGGUAACUCUUUAACUCUUAGCUUCAGCCUAAGUUUUUGUGUUCUUUCACAAGUUAUGCAAGGAGCUAGUUUUAAAUGAAUAAAGAAGGAUAAAGUGAAGUUUCUGUUUAUUAGAAUUUUGAUCCUCGGUUAUAUAUGGGACUUUUACUCUUUGUAACGAGGUUGAUGAACGAGUCCAGUACUUUUAAAAAGAUGAUCCUUGUAAGUUCUUGCUGAUGGUUGUUUGGGUUGACUAAACUUUUUUAGCUUGUGAAAUGGUAGAAUCGUGUCUGAAAUUUUUCGAUCCUUGAUUGUCGAUUACACAUAGACUCAAAAAUAAACGUUGAUCAUUGAAAGUUUGGGAUCAAGUUCUCAGCUUUUUGAUUCUCUUAUGGACUAAGGUUUUAGCUUUACCCUUUUUGGGUUAGGUAGUAUUAUUAUUAUGUAAUCAAUCACCUUGUCUGAAAAUUUUGAAUUUGUUUUGGUUGAUGUAUAGAAAGUAUGACGACGCAGAGCGCUAUGAGGAUGGUGGAAGGUGAUCAUGUAAAAAGUUGGCAGGCUUCCUCUAGGGAUCCCACUGGGAUAUUUGGUUCACAUGAUAUGGCUGUUGAAGAUUUAAGGUUCCUUAUGGAAAGAAAUAGAUUGGAUAGUAGUGGAAGUGAUCAUACAGGUAAGAUCCCUAGUAGGAGUGGGAGCGCGCCGCCUAGCAUGGAAGGCUCAUUUGCAGCUCUUAGGAAUCUCUUGAAACAUCAGGAAGGUAGUUUUAGUAGGUCUAUUGAGAAUUAUGGCUCUGAAGAAGAGAUACGUAGCGAUCCUGGCUAUGUAGCUUACUAUCUGUCCAACAUCAACUUGAACCCGAGGCUCCCUCCUCCGUUGAUCUCACGUGAGAAUCAGCACUUGCUGCGUCAUUUGGGUGGUGAGGGUAAUAACCUGAGUCCAACAGCGUCUUGGGAUGAUAUGGGGGUAAGAUCUUCCUUGCUUGCUUCUAGAACUGCGCUUUCUACACAUAGAGAGGAGCCUGAGGACGAGGCUUCUUCUGGUGAACAGCUGACUUUUGCUUCUUUGCCUGGUCGUCGUAAGAGCUUUGCUGAUAUCAUUCAGGUACUGCUUGAUUCUAUCACUUAAUUUAAUUUUACAUUAAAGAAGAUUCUCUCUUUUAACGCUUUCUUUUGUGUUCAAGCGGCCUCAUUCGGCAGGGAACCAUCCAACAGCAGAAGACAUACAUGCCAUUUCUUCUGGUAUAGCUUCAGAAAGGACAAGAAGAGUACCAGAGUCUGAUAUAAGUGUGGUGAAUCUUCUGAGGGAGACAGAUUCUCUCUCCAUGGAGGCUAUUGCUAGUGAAGAUCCUUUUACCUCUGAGUUGAGCUCACAAAGUUCAACCAACACUCAGAAUGAGAGAUCAAAUGCGAGGGUAGGGAGCCGCGAGGACAACAAUCUAUCUGCUUUUGGUGCUUCUGGUCCAUCCUCUGCUGCUUCUAGAAUGAGGGGGAACCAAGAAGAGCCAAGGAGAAUGCCUGUGCAAUAUACGCCUUCAUCGUAUCAGGUUCAAGCUACUUCGCCACAACAAAUGACCUAUCCGAGGAUGGGUGGUGGUACACACGACAUGAUGCAGAACCUGCCUAGGAUUGCAACUGGAGAGGUACAUUCGAGUUUCCAAUCUCCUCACGGUUUGACAUCGCCUCCUAUGUAUACAUCAACAGCUGCAUAUAUGACAUCUCUGAGCCCGUUUUACAAUCAUAACUUUCAGUCCUCGGGUAUGUACCUCCCUCAGUAUGGUUAUAGCGGUUACCCUCCUGCCUCUGGUGUUGUCCCUCAGUAUAUGAGUGGAUACCCAUCUCAUGAAGCCACUGUUCCUAUGCCGUAUGAUAUCUCAUCGCCUUCUUCGGGCUACAACAACUCCUUCUCUCGUGGAUGCUUUUCACCUACUGCACAGAACACUCCUCUAGUGGAUCCUUUUCAGCUGCAAUAUUAUCAACAGGCUCAAGCAGAGGCAUAUGCUCCUUCGUUUGAUUCCUUUGGGAAGCAAGACCAACAAGCUACUGGCUUUAUGGCUAAUCAAGAACCUCACAGCAACCCUUUGAGUCCAAGUUUUGGGUUGCAAAGUCCACGGCACAUGGGAAACUACUUUGCAGUGCCACCGGGUGUGAGAGUCAUGCAACAGUAUCCAGGAUCACCUCUUGCUAGUCCAGUGAUGCCAUCCUCACCGGUUGGUGGGAUGAUGAGCCAGUUUGGAAGACGAAGUGACACAAGGUAUCAUCAUCAACAAGGACCUAGUAGAAACACAGGGAUCUACCCUGGUGGAUGGCAAGGGAACAGAGGAGGAGCUAGCAGCAGCAGCGUCGAUGAUUUUAAAAGACAUUCUUUUCUUGAUGAACUCAAGUCUCCAAAUGCUCGUAAAAUGGAGCUGUCUGAUAUCACAGGGCGUGUUAUUGAGUUCAGGUAUUGUUUAUAUUCUGAUAUCUAUCGUUUUCUUUAAUUCUGAGUGAAAGCAUCAAAAGAUAAUAUCAUUUUUUUUCUUGACUUCAGCGUUGAUCAGCAUGGCAGCCGGUUUAUCCAACAGAAACUGGAGCACUGUUCUGAUGAGGAGAAGGCAUCUGUUUUCAGUGAGGUUCUUCCACAAGCUUCGAAAUUGAUGACUGAUGUCUUUGGAAAUUAUGUUAUCCAAAAGGUGAGCCACUUUUCCUUUUAUAUUGGAAAGUUUCUUUUUCUCCAUUAUAAGCUUGUUGAUAGAUAGUGAUGUGUGGAUCAGUUCAUAGAACAUGGAACUCCAGCGCAGAGGGAAGAACUUGUGAAGCAACUUGCUGGUCAGAUGGUUUCUCUAAGCUUGCAGAUGUAUGGAUGUCGUGUGAUACAAAAGGUAAAUAAAUAAUAUUAGUUUCCGCAUAUCAAUGUCAGUGUCUGAAGUAAGUUUAUAUGUACUUAGUUCGUACGUUAUGAUAUUUUAUAGGCCCUUGAAGUGAUAGAUGUUGACCAAAAGACAGAACUGACUCGUGAGCUAGAUGGGAAUGUGCUGAAGUGUGUUAGAGACCAAAACGGAAAUCAUGUUAUUCAAAAGUGUAUAGAGAGUAUGCCUGCUUCUAGGAUUGGAUUCAUAAUUUCAGCUUUCCGUGGUCAAGUUGCCACUCUUUCUACUCAUCCUUAUGGAUGCCGAGUCAUCCAGGUAACUGGAUAAGAGUGAGGCUUUCUUGUGUGGUUGUGACAUGAAAUAUUCACUCUGUCUCCUUCUGUUUUUCCUAUAGAGAAUCUUGGAGCAUUGCUCAGAUGAUGAGGAGACUCGUUGUAUAAUCGAUGAAAUCUUGGAGUCUGCUUUUGCUCUUGCUCAUGAUCAGUAUGGGAACUAUGUCACUCAGGUAUGGUUAACUCAGAUCAGUGUCUCCCUUGUAUCUCAUUUUGUUCUUAGUCUUGGGGCUUGUGUCUUUAUAGCAUGUCCUGGAGAGAGGGAAGCCUGACGAAAGGAGACAGAUCAUUGAGAAGUUGACAGGGAACGUUGUUCAGAUGAGUCAGCACAAAUACGCGUCUAACGUUGUGGAGAAGUGUCUAGAGCAUGCUGAUAGUACCGAGAGAGAGUUGCUGAUUGAAGAGAUAAUGGGAAAAUCAGAGGAAGACAAUCACUUGCUGGUAAGAACACAACGGUAAACAAAAACUCUCUGGAACCACUUUGGACUUUAUUUAACAUUCUAUUUUUCUUCCGCAGGCGAUGAUGAAAGAUCAGUAUGCAAAUUAUGUGGUCCAGAAAGUAUUGGAGAUCAGUAAAGAUGAGCAAAGGGAGAUCCUGGUGCAGAGAAUGAAAAUCCAUCUCGAGAGUUUGAGGAAGUACACAUAUGGGAAACACAUAGUAGCCCGAUUCGAACAACUGUUUGGUGAAGGUAUUUACUUUCUUUACACCAAAACCUUAUAGCAAGUUUGUGGUAGUUCUGAACUGUUUGAUGUGUCAAUGUUGCAGAGAGUGAAGCUUCGGAAGGAGGAGCAGAAGGUUAGACAAGAGGUUUGAUUUGGGUUGCAGAUAAAGGACAAUGUUGGAGUUGUUAGAAGAAUAAAUAUAUAUUUGAAAAUGCUUAUGUAUAUAUGUGCUUGUAACUAUGAAUGGAAGUGUGUGAUGGUUUGUGUAUAUGAUGUGUGGACAUAAUUUGUGGUUAUUGAUUUGCUCCUUUCUUCUGACUGAGAACAACAUAGAGAGAGCAGAUGAUAGUUUAGCCUAAACAAAAAAAAAAGAACUCAUAAUUUGUGGUUAUUGAUUUGCUCUUUUCUUCUGACUGAGAAAGAACAACAUAGAGGAUAGUUUAGCCUUGACAAAGAAAAAGAACUCAGCUUCUUACUUCUCAUGGGAAUCAAAACACUCCCAAAGUGCCAAAAAAACAUCUCAUGUGGCAAAGCCAAGCCACCUCAUUCAUAACUUAAGAAAUGUGAUGAAGCGGCUUAGCUUCAGGAAACAACAAUGGUAUUCUAAAGUUUCAAUUUCGUCAUUAUAUGAGUGGUUUGGUGUUGGAGGCGAGCAAAAUAUCUUUCCAGGCUUCGUAGAAGACCCAAGUGAUGCCAGAAGACGGCAUGACUUUCAAACAACUUGCUCCCCAACCUCUGUAGAGUCCCAUCACUCCUCUUUCCUUCACUACUUCUGCUAUUGCCGCAGCCAUGUUCGGUGGACAUUCCCCCUUCAGAGCUCCCACCAUCAACCGCUUCCUCGCCACCUCCAAUGGGAAGCUAAUGGUGCUAGCCGUUAGACCUGACACAACAUUCACAAUCCAAUGAGUCAAGAGAAACCAAAAGAAACUUUUAUUUUAUUCAUUUACCAGCUAGAGCUCCGAGAAGAAGCAUCUCUGGACGGCUUAAAGCCUUCUUGUUCUUGGAUUUGCAGUAAGUGGUUUUCAUAGUGUCAUACAUGAAGUAAUAACAUGUGCUGUACGGAAGCAUCCCGACCAGUGUUGGCCCCAAGCCAGCGUAGAAUCCACGGAUUCCAUCGUCUCUUAAUAUCCUUGGAACUGCAAGUCUCAAGCUUGGAUAAAUCUCAGGGCUCACAGUCAAUCUAUCCUGGUAAAAGAUCAUAGAAACUUAGUCUUUUAUCGACACAAACAACAACACCAACAAUGGAUUUGAUCGAACCUUGAGGACUUCGAGAGGAUGGCAGACAAGUGUGCUAGCAACACCUGCAGCUGCACCAGCAACAGCAACGGGAGAGAGCCAAGAUAUGGACGGACUGAAACUAAAGUCACCAAUCUCAAUCUUCGCCUGCUCAAUCUUCUUGAGCUUCUCUUGCGCUGAUGUCAUUACACGCUUUACACACUCAAAAGUGCUCAACUCAAUGGCUUGAGUUGGGAUGAUACGGAUCAUGUUGAUCUCGUUGCCAGCCCAAAGACCAACCCAUCCUUGCUUCUGUAUGAUUUCCACAAAGCUUCCUGGAAUGGUUCUCGAUCCAACACCAACAAUCAUCCUUGUCCUGCCAGGUUCCACAGAGCAACAAAGCAGUUAAGACAAAAGUUCAUUGAGGAGAUAACAAGGUGUGGAGUAAGUAUGCAGACCUUAUAGUCUCAAGUGGAGCAAGAACAGCUUUAGUCAUAGCUCCAGCUAAAGCCCCACUCAGAAACUCACGAGCUUCCCUAGACUUGAAGAAAUCCUGAAUCAAACAACAGACAUACAUUAGAACACAACACAGAUUGUCAAAACACAUAGAAGCUAAGCAGAGGAAACAAAAAGGAACUGACUUUAACAGGAAUGGUGAAGUCAGGAAACUGAGGCUGGAGAGAAAGAGGAGACUCAGAUGGAGCAGAGGAAACAGAGUCCUUCACCAUAGCAACGAACCCUUCUUUCGGUACAGCCAUUGUCAUUAUCUCUCUCUCUAUCUGACUCCUGUUUAUUCUGUCUCAAAGAUUUUUUUAUAUCAGAGAAGACAGAACAGGAGAUUCAAAAAAGGGCUAAAAGAUAGAAUAUGCAGUUAAAACAUAACUAUAAAAAGAAGAGAUCUUUUUCAGAUUGAGAAGAGAUCUAAAAGAGUUUGGUUUGAGGAUGAGACAGAGAUAGACUCUGUGAACAUGCUGCUGCAAGUGAAGGGGUGUUUAGAUUUUAUGGGAAAGAUUUAACCUUUUUAGGGUUUAUGUGGUGGGGUGCUCAUUUCUCCACAAAUAUCUUUUGUUUUGUUUGUAAGCUGUAACCGGUUAAAUCCGGUUUAUCAGCCGGUCUGGUCCAACCUUUUAGAAUGCAGUUUGUAAAAAUUGUUAAUCGAGACGGUGAAAUGAGGAGCCGCCGAGUCUUAUCCGAUCAAUUACUUUCUCACUCGCAAUCAAAGCUCGACGAAGAUGUCUUGCUUAGUCUCAUCAACUUGCUCGCUCGUCCCAUUCGACACGAGUCUCACUCGUUCAACUCGCUCCAGCAAACUCGGCUCUUCACUUUCAUGGCAAUCUUCAUUUCCCAAAUUCUCCAUCGAUAUCGGCUCUGUUAUCUCCUCUCCCAUUGUCAAGAAGGUAAAACCUUCUCAUGCGUUUCUCUGUACAGAGUCAAUAGCUAUGGUUUUGUAAUUGCUCUAGCUUGUUUAGUUUUGUGAUGUUCUUGAUUUUGGAGUUUAGUGGUUGUGUUCUGUUUCUGUAAUUUCUGAGUUUGAAGUCAGAAUCUAGGGCUCUUGUGGAUUCUCUCUUCAAAGUUCAUUUAUUUAUCUGUAGGGUAUGUAAAAAUUCAUUCAAAGUUUCAUAAUUGAUCUAGCUUUGUGAUGUUCUUGAUUUUGUAGCUUAGUGUGUGUUUUUGAGCUUGUUUUGUAAUUUCUGGGUUUGAAGUCAGAAUCUAGGGUUCUUUUUGAUUCUCUUCAAAGUUCAUUACUUUAUCUAUAGGCUAUGUAAAAUUUCAUUCAAAGUUUCUUUCUUUAUCUAUUUAAGGUGGUUCGUACAAAUUUUUUUCUUACAAGGUUUGUUUUGAUGGGUUGUUUAGGACUCUUUUAUUCAAGCUGCCUGGACUAGGAGAUCACGUGGCGAAGCAGCGAAAAGACCCAACAAGAAGUCAUGGAAGCAAAGAACUGACAUGUACAUGAGACCUUUCCUGCUCAACGUCUUCUUCUCCAGGAAGUUCAUUCACGCCAAAGUUAUGCAUAGACCAACAAGCAAAGUCAUCUCAGUGGCCACCACUAACGCAAGAGAUAUAAGGACGAACAUACCUUCUCUUGUGGAUGACGAAGCGUGCAGACUCAUCGGCAAGCUCAUAGCUGAGCGUUCAAUGGAAGCAGACGUCUACGCUGUGUCCUAUGAGCCAAGAAAGGGAGAGAGGAUUGAAGGGAAGCUAGGGAUUGUUAUCGAUACCAUUAAAGAACAUGGCAUUAUUUUUGUUCCUUGAUUUGGCAUUUUCAUUACCAAAGAAUGGUCUGUGUUCUGUUUUGCAUAAUGGUUCAAGAACACAUAGUUGUUACAAAGACAGUGGAGUAUUAAAAGAUGAUUAUAUAAUUAUUAUAUUAUUGUAUGUACAACACUUUAUUUCUUCUUGUCACAAGACAUGUAUCUAAUCAAAAUCUCUUCAAAAACACUUUCCUCACAAGGGAUAUGAAUCCCUCCUUCAUGUUCAUAACCAAACUCGUCAGCUACUUCAUCCAUCAAAACUUUAAAUUCAGGAUACUGAAGAUACUUGGUCGGUAUUACAAACCUCUGCAUCUCAUCCCCCACGUAGACCGCAAGAUGCCCUCUCGGUACACCGUUUUGGUCUCUGGCUCGUCUCCUACCAUCAGAUAAUUCCCCUGAGAGAAGACUGGCCUUUAUGUUCGUUUCAGACCUUCUGUUUCUUCUCUUCUCCUGGUUCUUGAGACGUACGAUGAAAUCUAGCGAUAUCAUUUUUGUUGUAUGAUUCAAAAGAUAGCAAAACCAAACGGAAAAUUGUGUCUUGAGAAAAAAGUUCAAAAAAGGAUUUAUUUAAUCAAAGUCUAAUGACUUUUCAUAUGAUAGAUCAUAGAACUGUAAAGAUCUUCUUGAAGUUGUUAUCUUCAUAGAAAAAAAUAAAUAAAGAACAAGCUAGGUUAUAGAAGCCCUAGUUGUUCUUGUUUCUUUAUUUUGUUUGUUUUUAUGAUCUGUCUACCUUUUAUGUCUUUUGGUUUCUUGGACAAUAAGCUAUGUAAGAAGACUAUUAUUGGCAACACCAACAAAAGCAUACUCGUCCGUACCAUACAGUUGGUACGAGGUUAUUGUUUGGUGAAUCCAGUUCACAAAUCUAGACCAAAACUUUCGCGUUACCAACUAAAAUAUUUAUUUAAGUAAAAAUAGGCAUCAUCAACCAUCUCCACAGUUCAUAUAUCUUAAUGCAAUAACUUUCAUAUUUUUAAGUCUAUCACAUUAUAUAUGCACAUCAUUUCAUUUAAUGUGCACAAGCGUGUUCAAUAGCUGAAACAGUUUGCUUCACAUCCACUCCCAUAUUGCAGAUAUUGGCAAGCGCUCCUGUAUACUUCAAACCGUAGUCCAUCGUUGCUCCACAGUGAUUCUUGAAGCUAUUAACCUGCGAUUUUCAUUCGAUAAUGUACUAGUUUAAUAGUUGUUGCGUAGAACACAAGUUAACAAGAUUUGAGAUGUGGUUGGUUGUUACCAGAGUCUUAAAGCAAUCCCAGUCGUCUACAAGAGGUUGUCCUUUUGUUCUUGUGGAAAUUAAGAGAUCUAAGACAUUGGUUUGCUUAAGUGAAAGUUUAAGAAUCUCCACAAUGUUCUGAUCGAUUUGUCUCCUAUGAUUCAUUUCUUCAAACAGCUUCUUCUGAAGCUCUUGUCUUUCAGGUGACUCCAUUGGAGAUCUUUGAAUCUGAGAGAUAGAUAGUGAAACAUCAAAAACAUAUAUAUAUAUAUAUAUACCUCUUUUGUUUAUUAUUCAAUCUUGAAAGAUGAGACUUCACCUUGCUCUUGAGAUAUAACAAAGGGAUAUCGCGAGUAUUGACCGAGCUUGAAGUAGAGAUUGGUGAAGCAGUGAAUCCAGCAAAAGUGAAGUUUUCGUUAUCAGGAUUGGUUCCAAUGUAGGAGACAAGAUAGUCUUUAAGAAGCGCCUUUGAUCCGAAACGGCUUACAUGAGAACUCGUCCCUGGUUCAGCAUCAGGACCUGUUCUUCUCUUUACAAUUUGGUAUUGUUUCUUCAAUGUCUCUUUACUCAUGUCAUGAAGAUCACUGUCCCCCAAGUAACACAAAACAGAGAAACAUUUGAAAAAAAAAAAAGUCUUGAAGAACAAUCAAAUCAUUUGAUAUUACAUACAGAUUUGAUUCUUUUUUGGGUUGAAGUACCUGUCCUCAAGCCAAGAGACGCUAAAUGUAUCGCCGAGACAAACACCAUCAUAUUCAGGAGGAGGAGGAGGAUUUUCACCACCACAGUAGAUUCCAAAACUGCUCUCUGUCGCAUUAGAAGCAGUUACUGCAAGUAUGUUUAGAUUGGUCUUUAAAAUCCCUUCAAACAUACUUCCAGACUCACAUGCUUCAACAUAAAUCACCUAAACAUCACACACACACACACACAGAAAACAACUCAAAGAUUCAAGAACAGAACACUACAUAUUUUUUUUUUUUUUUUUUUUUGUCACUAGAACAGAACACUACAUAAAAGAUGCUAGAGAGAUGCAAUGAAUGAGUUGAGUUAUUAGUACCAUCUUCUUGUAUCUUUUAAGCUUAUGCAUCUUCUCCAAGACUUUAAUGAAAUCUUUUGCAUGGAUAUCUUCACCAUCAGGCAUCGCUGAGAAUAAUAAAUAUUGACCAAGAAAUUGCCGAUUAGUAUAAUCAUGAGAAACAUCUAAAUGCUAGAUGUAGAUUGGUGGUAAAAUAAUACAUAGUAAACCAGGAGCUCCAUGGUCAGCAUAGUAGAUGAAUAUACUAUCAUUAGGACCACUUUUCACAACUUUGCCACUUCCUCCUGUGAUGCCACUUUCGUUUCCAAGUAUCACAUUAUAAAAGUUCUUCACAUUAACAGCCUCUUUAGUGUAGUCCUAUAUCAACCAACAAAAUCUAAAUAUGUUGAUUCAUUUAUAAAGUGCCCAAAAGUGAUGAGAAAAUAAUAACCUUAGGAACGCCUUCAUAAACAUCUCCACCAUCAGGUCUAUUGAUGAUAACUCCAGGCCUGGGAUUCUCAGGGUUAAACGCGAUAUCAUCAUACAUAAACACAAUAAUGUUUUCAUCUUUUAGACCCCCUUUUCGCAGAACUUGAUAUGCAUGGCAUAUGUCAGCCUGUAAAGCAAAACAACAGUAUAUUUAGUUCAUAGAAUCUCUUCAGGACCACCUUUUCUUCGUAUGGUUAAAACUUUUGAUGUAAAAUAAAUCAAAAACCUGAUGCCUGUAGUUAUAAUAAUAACUUGAUCCAGCAAUUAGAACAGCCCAUCUUGUGCCUUUUGCACCAUCUUCGCUAGAUCCAGUGUCAUGAAGGACUUGGGGUUUGCGAGAAUCAGCUGAGUAAAAAAGCAGAACAUAGAGAAACACAAGAACAAGUAAAUGACCAAGAGAAGACAUUGUCAGAAAAUUACUCUAAAGAACUGUUGUUUUGCUCUCUCUGUGUAAAAUGUUAUUGAAUCUGAUGAUUGUGAGGAAAAUACAUUAGUAUAUAGCAUGUUUAUAUAACAAAAGUAAUUUACGUAUUAGAGUUUUGAGUGUGUGGAUGCAAAAAGUAACGCAUGACGUUGUCACACCUAAGCGCACUGCAUGAUAUAUUAACUAACUGCCUUGAAAUGUUAAUUGGUUUUGUUUGUUAGCUUCUGAGUUUUUUCCUUUAUUUAUUAUCAUCUUUAGAUGUCUUUUGACCACCAGCCUUUGAUGUAUCUAUGCAUGCAUAUUAAUCAGUGAUUAAUAUGAAGAGAAAACUAAUUAAUAAUUAUAUAUAACGUUCUCUUUUCCUUAAUUGUUAGAUAUAAAGUAAAAUAGCAGUUAAUAGAUUUUUUUUGUUAAUGAAUUUGAUAAUACUAUUACUCACAUUUAGAGUUAUAUAAUUAGGCUUGUCACAAAUAUCUAAUUUAACUAAAAGUAUUAGUAUUACUUUUCAUAAAUAAUUAGACAAUUCAUUGAAACUAGUGAGCUGUUUAGACUUUAGACUAUAAAUACUCAUCAAUUUGCUCCAUUCAGAAGUUAAUUAGAAUCACCAAAUUAUCAAUUAGUAAUUGUGCGGUCUAAAUCUCGUCUUAUUACAUAUCAAAAACAGAAUUUACGUCUAGUGGAGGAAUUAGCACCAACUUAAUCAGUGUUUUCUUCUUAAAGAAUAUAAACAAGGUUGUAUACACAAAUAUAUUCAUUAAUAAGAUUAGCUUAAGCAAAACUAAAGACACCAGAAAUGGCUUCACUCCAUCUUUCCUUCACCAAACAAGAAUACCAAUCCUCUUCAGUUUCGUCUGAAACAAAACAAAGUAAAAGUAGCAUAGAUUAGAAACUGUGAGAUUUUAAUUAGCAACAAACAUGAUAAUGUUUUAGAAAAAUGCAGAGUAAUAAUGCACCUAAGUUCUUCUCAAUGUCUGAUAAAGUACUUGAAUGUGUAUUCGAGCCAUCUGAGGUUACGCUCAUUUCAUCCUGCAUCAGAAGCAUUUUUCAUUUAACAAUUGCGGAUAAAACCAAACUGUUGAAACUGCUAAAAGCCUUUUUUGUAAGAUUAAACUCAUCGAUAUUUGCUCCAUUCAGAAGUUAAUUAGAAUCACCAAAUUAUCAAUUAGUAAUUGUGCGGUCUAAAUCUCGUCUUAUUACAUAUCAAAAACAGAAUUUACGUCUAGUGGAGGAAUUAGCACCAACUUAAUCAGUGUUUUCUUCUUAAAGAAUAUAAACAAGGUUGUAUACACAAAUAUAUUCAUUAAUAAGAUUAGCUUAAGCAAAACUAAAGACACCAGAAAUGGCUUCACUCCAUCUUUCCUUCACCAAACAAGAAUACCAAUCCUCUUCAGUUUCGUCUGAAACAAAACAAAGUAAAAGUAGCAUAGAUUAGAAACUGUGAGAUUUUAAUUAGCAACAAACAUGAUAAUGUUUUAGAAAAAUGCUGAGUAAUAAUGCACCUAAGUUCUUCUCAAUGUCUGAUAAAGUACUUGAAUGUGUAUUAGAGCCAUCUGAGGUUACGCUCAUUUCAUCCUGCAUCAGAAGCAUUUUUCAUUUAACAAUUGCGGAUAAAACCAAACUGUUGAAACUGCUAAAAGCCUUUUUUGUAAGAUUAAACUCAUCGAUAUUUGCUCCAUUCAGAAGUUAAUUAGAAUCACCAAAUUAUCAAUUAGUAAUUGUGCGGUCUAAAUCUCAUCUUAUUACAUAUCAAAAACAGAAUUUACGUCUAGUGGAGGAAUUAGCACCAACUUAAUCAUUGUUUUCUUCUUUACAAAUAAAAACAAGGAUGUAUACACAAUAUUAUUAUUCAUUAAUAAGGUUAGCUUAAGCAAACUAAAGACACCAGAAAUGGCUUCACUCCAUCUUUCCUAACAGACAAGAAAGCUAAUCCUCUUCAGUUUCGUCUGAAACAAAACAAAGUAAAAGUAGCAUAGAUGAGAAACUGUUAGAUUUGAUGAGCAACACACAUGAUAAUGUUUUAGAAAAUGUUAAGUAAUAAUGCACCUAAGUUCUUCUCAAAGUCUGAUAGAGUACUUGAAUGUGUAUUCGAUCCAUCUGAGGUUACACUCAUUUCAUCCUGCACCAGAAGCAUUUUACAUUUUUACAAUUGAGGAUAAAACCAAACUGUUGAAACUGCUAAAAGCAUUUUUUUGUAAUACUCACAACUGUUGGCAAGGAGAUUAAGCUAUGCCUUGGUGAUGGUCCUCUGCUAUAAUUGAACAUAAUCCACUCCAUAUUCGCAUCAGCAAGAGCUCUCAACCUGUUAAGCUCAGGCAACACCUCUUUCCCAAGGUCUGGUCUGUCUUUCCUUCUCAGUUGUGCACACUUAAGCGCAACCUUUGCCAAUGACAAAGCUUCUUCAACCGGCCAGUUAAGCACCGCUGGAUCCAACAUAUCCUUGAACGUGCCUUUCUCUAUCGCUUGCUCAACGGUGUAAGACAAACCCGUAGGUUUCUUCGCCGUGAGCAGCUCUAAAAGCAAGAUACCGAAAGAGUAGACAUCUGACUUCACACCAAGCAUUCCGGUUUGUUGGUACUCCGGGUCAAUGUAACAGAACGUCCCCGCGGUCGACGUGACGUGGCACUGCGUGACGUUUUCCGCAACCGCAGGGACUAGUCUGGCUAAUCCGACAUCACCUAUUUUGCUUACGUAGUUCUGGUCGAUCAAGAUGUUCCCUGGCUUCAGAUCACGGUGCACUAUAGGCUCAGGUUUCGUCUGGUGAAGGAAGAGCAGACCGGUAGCAACUUCGGCUGCGAUUCUGAACCUCAGCUCCCAUGAGAGCGGUGGCGUGUUUCCGUUUCUGUAGAGCCUAUCAGCUAAACUCCCUUUACCCAUAUACUCAUAAACAAGCACACCAUACUCUGGACAUGCUCCAAUGAGUAGCACCAUAUGCGGAUGUCUUAUGCAGCUAAGAACCUCCACCUGUAACAAUGCUCAAUCGUUAAUCAAAGUCUGAUAUAAUCUGACUCUUAGGUUUAAACUUACCUCUCUUUGAAACUGAGAUCUUCCUUGAGCUGCAUCUGGUCUCAAAACCUUAAUAGCAACAGGAGUAUGAUCAAGGUGACCCUUGUAAACAGGACCGUAUCCACCUUCUCCUAUCUUAUUAGCUUUGUCGAAUGAGUUUGUAGCUUCUUCAAUCUCGCCAAUGACAUACCUCCGGUACCUUAAGUUGGAAUCAGAGAAAGCAUCUCCAGAUUCUAUGGCUCUUCUCUGUGUUUCCAGAUCUGCUAUCUUGUUUGCUGUUUCAGAAGCAUCCAUGGCAGCUUUGUUUGCUCUCUCUUUUUCAGCUAUCAGCUUUGUUGAUUUCUCUGAUAACUGUCCUUCUUGCCCCCAUCCUUCCUCUUCCAUUUUCUGACGUUGGAGCUCCUUUGCCUUUUAAAACCAAAAGUUAAAAUCUCUUUCAGUUAAGUCAACACUGCACAAGGUGUCAUUUAGUAUAGCUUACCUCUUGCUUUGCUGCUAGUGCUUCUCUGCAAGCUGAUCCAUACAAGUCAAUUGUGUGUUUCAGUUCCAGUUUCAGUCUCCGCAUCUCAGCUUCCACGUCUUCCUGUACAUUUCAAGGAAACAUAUAUAAUACUAACCAUUCUCAAAACAAUACUUUGCUGUCUAUAACCAAUCAAACUUGUCUUACCAAGUUUUGCGGUGAACAAGAGCAAGAAGACCGGCCACUAUCUUGUGAAACGAAUGAGAAGUCAUGUUGGAUAUUGAUCCCUAGACGCAUAGAGCCAACGCUUUGUCCAGACCCCGUAGACAUUCUCGGAGUUAAACCAGAGUCAGGGAACUCGUAAAUGAAGGAAGGGCUUCCUGUAGUGCUAGUACUCGGCCUGCCUGAGCUCACAAAAGAUAUGUCAGACCUUCCGUUAGUGCUUGUACUCGGCCUUUCUGAGCUUGUGAUACUUCGCCGGCCUGAGCUAGUGAUACUUGGCCUGCCUGAUGAAACAAAUGAUAUGUCGUUGUCGGAGUCUGACAAAUCAUAGAAUGAGUUUGCGUUGUUUGAUGUCCUUGCCAAAGGAGACCUGUUGAAAAGAAUGCUUAGUUUAAUCCUCUCAAAGGCAGAUUAAAGAGAAAAGAUUGUCAUGAAACAUUACUUUCCAAAGUCUUCAAUAGAGCUAGAAACCGAAGAUCUCGCCGGAGUCCUAUCUGUUUGUAGCAAAAGCAAAAGAACAACUUCAAGAUUCAUGUGGCUUAAGUCUCAAAAGAAGUAGUUAACAAAGUUACCUCUAAAGCUCAUGGUGUUCCUGAACUUUUCGUAGUUAGUGAGAGCGGAAUGAUUCUCAAUCUGAGCGAUAAGGGGAGACUGAUAAGGAGCAUCUCGCCUGGCGUGGCGUACAGAUGAUAUCUUCCCUUUGGAGAUGACAUAAACUGUACAGAAAUCAGGUGCUGCUUUGGCUACAUUGCUCGGCGUAUCAGACAUCUUGAAUUUUCUUUUUAAGCAUAGAAAACAAACAUAAGAAGAAGAAGAAGAAGAAAAAGUGAUGAUUCUUUAUCGAUUAAAGGAAGAUAUUCAUAUCUAUAAAUACCUCAUGAACCCAUGCCUGGACGGUGCACCAAGAACCAGAUUCUCAAUCACACCAGAGGAAACAUAUUCCGCAAGGGACUUGACUAUGCUGUCGUCCUCAAGCGUGACGUCAAGGCAUUGUAUCUAGCAACACAGAGAGAUAUAAAAUUAAGACCAAUCAAAGCAAGGACAAGAUAUCUUAUAUCGCUGUUUGUACCUCUUUUCGACUGCAGUAGCAAUGAAACGUGACGAAAAGGUUCUCGGCUUGCUUAUGUUUCUCUGCAGUAACCUCAACUACAAACCCAUUUGCACCAAAACAACAUCAGUUUCUACAAGAAUCUUGAAAACUUAGACAACAACAAUAACAAGAUAUGGGUUUGGUAAUAAGAGGAGCGUUCCAGACACCUGAAUCAGAUGAGGAUCGAUGGAUAACAUGGAGGAGGAUGAUGGUAUCGCCUUUGGAGACGAGACGAUCAGCAGCCCAUUUGAGAGCAUGUUGGCUUCCUUUAUCUUUAUCCACUGCUACAGCGACUAGUCCUGAAUCCACAUUCUUCUUCUUCUUCUUCACCUUUACCUUUUGAGACUUCAUCGAAUACAAACUCUUCCAAGAACCUUUGCCUCUGUCUUCUUCUUGGAGGGUUUCAUUCUCAAAAGACCUAAAGAAACCUGCGGUGUUUCCUAAAUUAGGGUUUUUGAGAAUUGUCUAUAUUAGGAAACUGAGAUUCAGUGGUUGACUGAAGAACAACAUUGGAUCAUUUCCACCGCUCGUUCUCUCUGUCUCGUCAUCUUUGUGUCUCCGUGUCUCUCUCCGACAGCUUCGGGUCGUCGCGGAUUCUCCGCUAUAGUAAUUAAAUUUCAAAUCCAGAAUAGCAUUAAACUUGUAAUACUUUUUACAAUUCUCAAGAAAAGUUUGGAACUUUAUCAUCCUCAGACAAUGAAUCCCGAACCCUAUUUGAUGUUAUUACGCAUGGAUUCAUGUAUUAAACUAUAUAUAGUAUUGGAAAAGAAAAAUCUUGGGAUAACCAGAUGGAAAGAAAUGAGUAAACUUUAUGAAACCUUCACGGUUUAGCUCAAAGGUUGGUCCAUAGAAUGAUUAGCUGAAACAGAACAUUUUUCACGUCAAAACCCGUAUAACUACAAAAGAACUGAAUCGUAUACGUACCGUAAAGAUGACUUGCCAAGCUACGGUUAGUAGCCCUGUACUCGACGAUCAAAACCUUCUCUUCUCUACGGUAAUAAUAAACCGCAAGAGGCAACAGAUUCGUGAUGGCUCAAGCCUCCUUAACCGUCUGACAGGUUUGUUUACAUUUACCAAAAGAUAUAAGACUUUGAAUAAAUGUGAAACAUACGUAUUUAUCAAACUAAACAAAAAUGCAGAGUCAUGUGAAGAAGAUCACUGCUUCAAAUAUGAACAUGUCAAUCAUGUCUAGAACUUAGAGAGAUCUUAGGCUAAACCAUUUUCCAUUCUUUUGUUUUCGUUAAACAAUUCUUCCUUGGUAUAUGAUUACUUACGAGUUAUCAUCAAACACACAAGAAGAGGAAAGAUCUUUCCUAUCGACAAGUAUUAUAUGAUGCGUUUGACUACAAAAUAAAACAUUAUAUUGACUUUUUCUCUCUGUCUUCGUGCUCAGCACAAAACAUGGCUUUCGAAACAAGUACAUACCGUAAGCCCGAUGAUAGUUUUCUUCAAUCUCCACUUUAGCUAAAAAAGAGGUUCCUCAUCAGGGGAAAAUGAAGGUCUGACUCUUGCCAACAGCCUUGUUGCAUAAUCCUCCGUUUUGUUUUUAGCUCUUAACCUAUUUCUCCAUUUUUGUUUCUGGGUUUUAAUGGAGCAUUUUACAGAAGAAGAUGUGUAUCAAACUGUCAGUUAAUUGUGACAGAUGCAGGAGGAAAGCAAUGGAAGUAGCCGUCAAUGCAAAGGGUAAAAUAUACCGUAUUAAACAAAGAGAACACACCAAGUGGUUUCUAAUGAAAGAAUAAAAACUGUGUACCUUGCUUGCAGGUGUAAUCUCUGUGGCUAUAGAAGGGGAACUCGAGGACGAGCUUGUAGUGGUUGGUGAUGGAAUUGAUGCAGCUUGUUUGGUUGACACCUUGAGGAAGAAAGCUUGCUAUGCCAUGUUAGAGACUCUUGAAGAAGUUAGCCCAGAUAUUCUCCCUCCUGACGAUGAUCAGGUAGAGAAUCCACAAGAAGAGGAUGAUACCGAAGAUUCCAAGAACAUCGAGACAGCUGAUGAUGAUAACAACGGUACAGAUCAAAAUGUUCCACCUCAUGUCUGCUUAGCUGAAUGCCCCACCAUUUGCUAUGAGCAGCCACAACAUGAGAUGUAUGAAGUAGUAGUCUAUGAUUCUUAUGGUCCAACCACUGGAUGCACAAUCAUGUAAAUGAAGAUCAACAAUGUAUAAUCCAUAUUAGCAAAAAAAAAAGUAUAAUCCAUAUUCAUUCAGAGUCAAUAUCUUUUGGUACAUGUGUGUAUAUACAAAACAUCUAAAGGAAACAAAAGUCACAAAAAUUAAAAAAAAAAAAACAAUCGAGUCUUCUUUAAAAAACAUACAUCAAAACAUGUUGAAACCUGGAUCUGUUCAUUAGGGAAGAUAUGGAUCCCGGGCAAGAUGUUCGAUAGUAACCCUUCGCAUUGACCUAACCAAAUGUUCAUGAGAGGCUCUGAUUCUAGCAAGUCUGCUCUGCAUACUCCGAAUCACGGGAUGGCUUAGACAUUCAAUCAGAAUCGGUAUCAUACCAGACUCAGAAAAGACCUCACGGUCGUUCUCAUUGUAACACAGCUGAGAAAUAGCUCCAGAGAUCCUCUCCCUAAACUCAAGAGACCCAUCUCUCACAAGCCCCACCAGCAAAGGAAUCACACCAGAGUCUCUAAUAACAGACACAGAAUGCCUAUAACCCGCAAGAUCCCACAACACAUCAGAAGCAGCAAACUUGGAUUCGUUAUCACCUUCCCUCAAGAUCCUCACAAGCUGCUCCGCUAUCAAAACAGCAUUACCCUCAGCCACAGCUAGUAUACAGAACACAUCCUCCGCAAUAUCUUUCCCCAUCGGAUCUCCUCCGGAAAGAAGCUCCACAUACAAAGGAAUAGAACCAGCUUCAGUAACAGGCCUUAUAUACUCAGUCUGAGCCGCUAUGAUCCCCAAGGUAUUACCAGCUAAAAGCUUUCCCUUCUCAUCUCCAUCUCGAAACAAAUCCACAAGAGCUGGAACCACUCCUGCUUCAACCAGCAACCCCCUACACCGUCUAGUAACACCAAUCAACCCAAUAGCGUGGCAAGCUCUCUCUCUCGACGCAAAGUUCCCAACUUUAACCGCUUCAACAAGUAACUUCAACCCACCGUUGUGAACAAGAACGCGUCUGCUCUCUCGUAUCGUCGUCAAGGCAGUAAGGAUCUCUAACAGGCACCAUCUACUCGAAUCAUCUUCCCACGUGUUCAACUCACGUGUCACGAUCUCCACACCGCCUAACCUAGCUAACCCGACCCGAAUCGAAGAUCCGAAAGUAACUAAACUCCACAAACACUUCACCCAGAUCCUUCGUAACGCAAUACCGUUAUCAUUCGCCUGCUCGAGUAAGAGCCCUAGCAAGCUAGCGAUCACGCCGCACCUCCCCAUCGUCGCCGCGAACUCGCCGCCGCGACAGGCGAUGCGUCUCAAGCAAUGCGCGGCGGCGGCUUGGACGGAGCGAUUGGGGUCGUCGGAGACGCGGAGAAGGCCGGCGAGGAUCGGGAUUGCGCGGGUUAGGAUACUCUCCGGUGAUUGAUGGGCUAAAGCUGAUAGCUUUAUAACGGAUCUUACGCGAAUCGGGGCGGGAGAGGACGAGAUCGCUUGUUCGAAGCGGUUGAACUCGGUUUCCCAAUCUGGGUUUUGAAAACUUUCCAUUUCUGAAGAGCGCAGAAGCACGAAAAGGCUUGAGAAGAAGAUGAAGAUGGAGGAGAUUCACUCACGUCUACGCCUACAAGCAACUAACGGAAUGAAAGAUUGAAUGAAUUGCAUAAUGAUGGAGCCGAUCGGUUUACAGUGAAUUGACCGGUCGAAUUCAAUUCGAAUUGGUUCAUAUUAGGUUACUUGUUUGCGCGGUUUUAUGAUUAACGUAACCGAGAAACUCAUACCACCGGAACGAGCCACAGCAUCAACUCCGGCGCUGGGAUGUAGAGCUCCACCACGUACGCCAAACAGGGCUCGCUUCUCCGGUUGACCACUCCGUCGUCGCAAACCCCAAUACGUGUCGUCUCUGAAAACCAGAGGACGAAGCUUCCUUCUGCUAGCCGUUAAAACUCUCCUCCGGUAGUCUCACCGCCGCGCAGGAGUGAAGAUCCGGAGUGGAGGAGGCCUCUGACCACGUCACGCGCCGCCGUCGAGAGAGGAUUCACCCGAGAUCUUAAAAAGGAAAAUUAGAUCUGGGAAUCCUCAAACCCUAAAAGCCGACCCACUCUGCCACCGUCACUCCGUGGGUCUCGCCGCUGCUCCAAAGUAAGUCCAAGACCGUCUCCGUCGAUCUACAAUAGAUUCUCCGGGGAAGUCUCGUCAGAUUCAGAACCGCUUGCAUAUCGACGAAGGAGUAGAGCGGUGGUGGAGAGAGCAAAUAGAAAAAGAGGAAGAGAAAAGAGAAAGGGGGCCUCCGGCACCGACAAACGCCGGGCCGGAGCUAAAGUUUCAAGCUUUGGUUUCUAGAGAGAUGGGAGAGCGUUUAGCGUAGAGAGAGAAUUUUUGUAGUCUUUUUUUGGUUUGAGUUGUAAUGUAACAGGGUUUUAGAAAUGUAUAUAUUGAAUACGAUAUUACUGGCUAUAAUAUAUAGUUUAUGUAUCCGUUAUAAAACUAGACUUCAAAUUCCAUGAAAAAACGAUUUUUUUGCUGUCAUGCUCAUAGCAGAAUAACUAAUUCAACAUGAAUGGUAUAAAACUUGAAGAAUGAAAAAUACCAUCAUUUUUUUCCUAAAUUGUGUUCAUCUGCAUAAUCAGCUGUUAUCAUUUUUGUUGCCUUAAUCAUUAGAACUCCGGUUUUUUAAGAUCACUCACCAAAUUAUUCUCUAUCGACAAAGCAAUUUUAACUUAUCUAACUAGAUUUAGAUCCGCGUUUUCCAAUCGCGGGUUUUGGAUUAUAUUAUAAUACAAAGUCUUGUUAUAUCGAAAAAUAUAAUUUUUAACAGUUAUAUAAUCUACGAAUUAGUCUAUUUGAGACUUUAUAUGUACACUUUUAUGUAAGUUUCUUUUAGGCAUGAGAAUUAUAUCUGGAUCAAAAAAACAAACCGAACCGAUCCGAAAAUAUAGGUAUAGUUCAAGUCCAGAGAAGAUAACCUAUUGUGUUUUUUUGGACCCGCAAGUCUUUGUUUGAGUCUGGGUCAUAUCCUAAACCCGAUCAUAAAUAUGUUGUGUUUAUUAGGUAUAUUUGGAUAUUUCGAAUAUGUUUCCAGUAUUGUGGAUAUUUUUUUAAGUUUUUGGUUAACAAUUAUAGAUUUUGAUUUCACGUAAAUUUUCAAAUUUAAAACAAAAUUGGGUACUUUUUCAGUUCAUCGUGUAAGAUUUUAAGAUUUUGAAUUUUUAGGUAUUUGAAUUUUUUGGGUAUUUGUUUGGAAUUUCGAAUAUUUUUCAGAUUUUUUAGAUAUUUUGAUUUUUUUUUAGGAUUCUAAAUACCCGAACAUAUGUGGACCCAUUACGUCUAUAUGAGGUUCAAUAACCUUUUGAUAUAGAUUUUUAACGUUAUUAUACAAAAAUCUGGUUGAUGAAAUAUUUUUUUGAGUAAAAGUAUCAUAAGGAAUAAUAUUAGGAUCUGUUAAAAAUAUUUAAAAUAUUAUAUGGUUAGAAUGAUUAAUGGUAUUACUAAAAAAAAGUUAUACAUGACUCCAACAACUUUUUAUAUUAGAUUUUUUUAAGAUUAUUUAUCUUUUAAUAGUAUUGAUUCGUUUUUAAGUGAAAAGUAUAUAAAGUAUAAUAUCUAAACUAAUAAUUUUCAAAAUCGUAAAUAAUUAAUACUAAUAUCGUGAAGUCGGGUUAACUUUAACAGAACCAAUGAAUUUCUUUUGUGAAGGUAACAUGAAUAUUCAGAAAACUCAUUUUCAAAUAUGAAAAUAUCCAUCAAAACUAUAGACGGUUGAAAGUUUAGUAUAUGAUAUGAGAUUUUAGUGGAGAAUUUUAUAUAUGAUAUGAUUACUUUAUUAUAAAGGAAAGAGAAAGUUAAAAUGUACACAUAUAUGUCGUGUAACCUCUCUUGAUUAAAAUCAUAUAUUAUAUGAUAAAAGUGAUAAUAUAAAACAUUAGUUUCAAUGCUUUUACGAUUAAAAAUCAAAAUGGUAAAUAUAGUAAUAGUAGUGAUUAGGAUUUAAGAGUGAGAUUUGAAUAAAUAAAGGAAUUGAAUAAAUUAUUGUUAGAGAAAUAUAUGGUAACAUAUUGUUAGUCUAAAUUUAAGGUAAGACCAAAAAAUAAUAAGAUAAAUGAAAGAGUCCAAACAACUUUCAUAUGUAGAUUUUUUAAGACUCUUUCCCUUUUAAUAGUAUUGAUACUUGUUCCAUGAUUGACAAAAUAGUUUUGUACAAAAAAAAAAUUUCUUUUGUACAAAAUUGUGUUUGUACUUAUAUGUUUAACCCACCAAUAGAACCCACCACUACAAUUUUUGAACGAUUUGAUGGGGAAAAUGCAAUUUUCGAUCUCAACAAUUUACAGUGUAAGUAUGAAUUCGCACUUACUCUUUUUUCGAAUAUGAAAAGGUACGACCGAAAUUGUUGAGGUCGAAAAUGGUCAUUUUUUCCGAUUCGAUGUAAUAAGAUAUAUCCCUCCAAACAAAAGGCAAAAGUUCAUCAACCGUUCAGGACUCUGAAAAUACGAUGAAGGUUGAUGAUAUGAUACUUCUUCUGAGAGAUUUGAUAUACUCUAGUUCGCAGCAACAAGUCAAGGCAAAUAUUUGAUGAAAGAUAUUGUUGCGAAGUGCUAACACAGAGAUCAAUAAAUCUCUGAAAAUACGACUUGAAUCAAUCACUUGUUAAGACAUAAGAGCAGUCACCCAGCCAUUUAAAACUUACCAAUUCAAAUGUUACCCAUCCAAACUCAAUUCAUUUUACAUGCAAAGAAAAUACAAAGAAAAGGAAUUGCAUACUGAAUUUUAUCUAAAAUAUCAACUAGAUCCGAUCCCAUCUUUAACACGUUAAUAAUCAAUAUUUGAUACUAAUUUUGCCACUUCGUCAACAAUUUGUAUUUGAAUAAAUUUUUUUUUGUAUGAAUGUUAAAUUUAUUCAAUCCAAAAACCAUUUUACAUCAUAGUGUGUCUUUAUUUGAAUUUUUCAAAAUAAUAAAGAAUAAAAAAAUCAUAUGAACCUUCCACACUCGAGCUCUUGUGCUGAACCAGAAACGUAGGUCUUUUUCAUAGCGAAAGUCUCCCAAUAGCCUGAUAGAACUCAAAUACUCAACCUAUUUUGGAGUACUGUUUUUUCAAUAGUGCUGAUGAGAGUUCCUUGUGUGGAGUGUGGCUCGCCGUGCCUUCUGCAAUUUCGUUUUCUCCAUAAACUAUGAUUAGUGAGUUGAAACAGGUAUCUGAUGACGAACAAUGUGACCUUGUCAACUGUGGUAUCACUGAUCAGUAAGACUAGAGUAUCCCAGUCUACUGUAAACUUGUCGUUCAGCACUUCUUUAGCUAUGUUUGUCCAGAUUGUCGCCGUAAAAGAACAGGUAAAAAAAGAAGUUUUUGAAUAAAUUCUUCAUGAUAUCUUUUAAAAAACAAAAGAAAAUUUUGGAAAUUCAUUUUUAUAUCCUACCAGAUCUAAAAUCCACUAAACUAAUUAAAAUUCCUAACCAUUUACGCUCCCAUUUCUCUUAGGUCAUAAGAUAUCUUAACUGAAUGAAUUUAAUUUAUAUUUGCAGUUAGCUUCUCAGUAACAGAUAUGCCAAUAAAUACUUAUCACAUUCAUUAGAGUAGCUAAUAGUUAUGAUAAUAAAAAAUUCUGGAUCUUGAUCGUCUUUUUCAUUUUGUUUCUUUUUUCAUUAAAAAAGACUUUUAAGUUCACUUGUAAACAAUCUACAUUCUAAAAUUCGUCAUGCUCUCUAAAGUAACAUUAGUCUAGCUACAUAUCACGAUCUUAAUUGGUGAGAAAAUGCAUUUAUUAUACGAGCCUAGAGUUUAAUAUAGUCUAGAUUCUAUUCUGGACUAAGUGGUGAUGCGUUCGAUAGAUGCUACGGUAGCAUUGCUACCACAUUAUUCACUUUAAUUUCAUGGUCUUUUUUAGAAAUAAAACUAGUAGAUAACCAUGUCAAAAAAAUCAUGAAUCUCGUCACGAAUUUCUAUUUUCUAUUUUCUUGUAUCAUGAAUCUUGUCGACUGCAUUCAUCAGCUUUUUAAUAAAAACCAUUAUUGUAAAAAAUUUAAAAGAAUAAUAAGUUGCUAAUACAGGGGAACGUGAAUAACAAGUAAAGGCUUCGUUCAAUAUAACAAUGAGAACUGGUUAGGGGUUUCAUUCGCUCUACGAGCCUCUACCCUUCGCAAAAUUUGUAUAUACACAGCAGAACUGGUUACUGGUUACGGUUUCAUUCGCUCUACCCUUCCUAUAAUGUCGGUCGAAAAGCAUAUCUUUUAUUACGAUUGUUCAAGUAAAUCUUUGAAUGAGACAAACCCGCCUUAAUAUAAAUCACAUCCAAGUUUUGACUAUAAAAUUAAUUAUUCGUAAAUGUAAACCUAGAAUUUAAUAUAAUAAUUAAUGAAUUAUCUUUUUUUUUUGUAACACAAACUUAUAUUAAGAUGUGGAAGCACCGUAGCCUAUUGGUUAAGGUUUAAAAGCUUCUACAUCCAGGUCUGGGGUUCAAAUCCUAGACUAUGCAAUUUAUUGCAGAUUACAGGAAAUUCAGGUUUCAAGUCCCGGAGAGAGCGAUUUAUUAAACAAUUAUGCAGACUAUAGAGGAAAGGCUUGCAAGAGAUCUUCAACAUGGUGCAAGUAAAUCUGGCCAGGCGUGGAUCUUCAUAGGACGACUCAAGUGAUGCAGUUAGGCGUAGGUCUUCAUAAGGCAGGUAGUAUUGUCGGUUGUCGAAUUGUCUAUGUAAUAUUUCCUAUAUCAUAAUUGUAAGAUCAUAAUAAAUCAGCGUUAAAAAAAAAACUUAUAUUAAGAUGCUCAAAGAGCAUAAAAAUUUACAAAUGAAGCAGAAAAUCCCGGAAGCAAGCUCGACGGUAAAAUAAAACUAGAAAACAAUACAAAAUAACUAAAAAUAGAACCAUCUAAGGACGAGUCAAGCUCAGCAAAAUGAAGAAACCCGACGGGAAGCUCCACUUUUGUUCCCAUGGCGAUUGUUCGAAAGAACAAUUGAUAGUCGAAAACGACCCUCUUUGGAUUUCACUGUUUGGAUUUCUUGAUCCAACAUGUAAAACAAAAUUCCAAUUUUUCCAAAAUGAGAUAUAGUUCUAUUCCAUUUUUAGGUUUGCAUUUAACGAACAUUUAUCAAUAUUUUUAUAAAACAUAUAUCAAGUUAGUUUUGUCGAUUGACAAUGUAAUCAGCUAGAGACAACAAAGGCGCCACCUUGUGUAUAUCAAACCCUUGAAGAUGCUCUCUCGCUUCUACGUUCAACUUUUCAGCAUAUUUCUUCGACUUCUCCACUCCCAUGAACCUCGGAUACGUUAGCUUUCCGGCCACCAAAUCUUUACCGGCCGUCUUCCCCAAUUCCUCCGACGACUUUGUCACAUCAAGAACAUCAUCCACAACUUGAAACAUAAGCCCAAUGCAUCUUGCAUACAUCCUAAGCCUUUCAAUCUCUUUAUCAGACCCACCUCCCACAAUAGCCCCCGCCACCGCAGAAGCUUCAAGCAACGCCGCCGUUUUGUGAAUAUGUAUAAACUCAAGAUGUUCCAACCCCACUCCGCUCAUUCCUUCUCCGGCCAGAUCAGCCGCUUGACCCGCAACGAGCCCUUCCGUUCCCAACGCUUUUGUCAUCUCCAAAAUGGCCCGGAGAACCCUCUCUGGAGGAACGCCCAAAGAGGUAGACGCGGCCAUCUUCUUGACAGCUAGCGCUAUGAGCGCAUCAGCGGUAAAGACGGAUAUAUCUUCACCAUAUACUUUAUGGUUGGUGGGUUUUCCACGACGAAGGUUGUCGUCAUCCAUACAAGGGAGGUCGUCUUGGAUGAGAGAUGACGCGUGAAGCAUCUCAACCGCACAUGCAGUGGGCAUUGCGGUGGACUCUUGGCCACCUACGAGCUCGCACGCAGCUAAGCAAAGCAUUGGCCUUACGCGUUUUCCACCCGAGAGAAGUGUGUACCUCAUGGAUUCACGGAUUUUGAGUGCUGGCUCGCAGAGAGGAACAGCCUCGUCUAGUGCUUUGUUGACAAACUUGGCCUUAUUGACCAUAUACAACAUGAAGUCGAAGUUAUAGCUUGUUACUGAAGCAAAACUGCGGAUGUUAAGGUGGCGUGUCAGUCUGAAGACAGACGCAACUUCAGUGUAACGCGGCCUGAAUCUCCAAAACAAGAAGUGGAGAGAGAGAAAGAUGCAAAUGAGAGUGUAAACAAGAGUUUCUCUGUUUUCCAUUUUCGGCUUUAGUUAUUUGAUCCUUUAGAUUUGGACUUAUGAUGCCAUAUUUAUAGUGGAGAUGUGGAACGAUUUAGGGUUAAUUAAUAUAUCAACCACUAGUAUUGAGUUCUUCAAAAAAAUUCAAUGACGUAACAAACGAACCAACACAUAUACUUGUUGCAAUUUGUAACAUGGAUUCAUAGAUUUCAGCGUCGAGAGAAAACUGGGUUAAUUCCAUCUAAAACAUUUUUAAAUUAACCCAAAGUAACAUAGUUAUCAUUAAUUAGUACCAUGUGGUUGAUUGAAGUUGAGAAGUAGUCAAAACAAAUAAAUGUUUACGGUUUGCAUUUACUACCAUGUGAUAUGUGAUGCUUACAUCUAUAAAUUAUGCGAAGAAAAAUCUAAAUUUAUACGCAUGAUACUAAAUUAUGCGAAGAAAAUAAAAUGUUCGAACCCCAUAUAUAUAUACAUAGAUAGAACAUAGAGAUAGGAAGAAUAUGUUUUUACAUAAAUUAAGAAUGUUUGACUUUAAGACCAAGAUUUCAAAGAAAAAAUGUUUACAUAGAGAAGAAAAAUUUAUUUAGAAGGAAUACUGAACUGCUCACUGGAGGGCACGUAGAGCCUGCGUGUAAUAUGUGAGUGCCCAAAGAGUGAAAAUGUUCCUAUACAUAGGAUAAUGGAGCUUCAGAUUUACACUUAACACCCCACUCAUUUCCUGAAGAAAAAAAAAAGAGAAAGACCAGAAAUUUAAGGAAUUAAUAAGUCUCUCAAACGUAAAUCAUAUUUAUAAUCAUAAAUUCAAAAUCUAUAGUGGUUAUAUAAUAUUCGAAAAAACAAACUCUCAUGAAUUUAAUUAAUCACCUCUUGUGGGUAAUCUCCGUUAUCCAACUGUGAAUUGAUCAAGACUUUGGCAGCACGAUUAACCGGACGUGGAUCUCUCUCCAUCUGACCACCCAAAAUUAAACUUAUAAGCGCUUGGCCUGUAUUCACAAGAUUGGUCUUGUUUCUUCCACUAAGUGGAAUGUAUCUCCUUUUCGAACAAGAGAGAUAACUCUCUCCCCAACCACCUUCCUCGUUUUGUGUCUCAAGAAGGAACCGAACCGCUCUACGGAUAGCCUCACAGUCAUUGUAAGUCUUACCUGCAGCCACUAGACCUCUUACUGCAAAGAAGGUUCCAUAAAUGAAACACACGCCCCAGCUUCCAUACCAAGAGCCAUCCGACAUUUGAAGAUUCUCCAAGUAUUUCACUCCAUUCUUUAUAAAGUCUUUCACUUGUUCUUUCUUGUAUUCAGGAAACUGUUUCAUGAACCGAGCAAUUGCUACUAGUGCCGACCCAGUGCAUUCAACAAACCUAAAGACGGUUUAUGCCAUAAGUAAUAUAUUUACAAGAAAAAGUGUGAUUCUACAUAUAUAUAUAUAUAUAUAUAUAUAUAUAUAUAUAGAUAAUUAAGAAAUAUAUUACUCAUGCUCCACAACUGCGUCUUUCAUAAACUCCACUGGACUAAACCACUGCAUUUGAUUAAUUAUGUUUAGGUAUUUGUUACACACAAUUAUUCAAUAGUCUUGAAAACAUAGAAAAUGAUAUGUAAGAAACCUCUAGCCAAGUUUUCCCAGGUGCUGGUUCCCACGCUGUUACACCUCCAUUCUUGCUCUAUUAAUUUGAAUAGAAGAAAAAUGUUGAUCAAUAGAAAUUAUUUAAGCAUAUUAAUUAAUAAGCUAAGUUUAUAUAUAUAACCUGAAAAUGGAGAAUCAAAUCGACAGCAUCAUAGAUCCUCUUUACAUCCAUUUUCUCACCUAUGAACUCUAGCGGCAUGGUUUCGAACAUUAGGCAGCACUACACAUGAAUAUAAUUAAUCAGCCUCCAUGUGUAACUAUAAACUAGUUAAGGAUAAAUUCAUGAUCAAUUAAGAGAAGCCACCUCUAAACUUUCAGCAGUACAAUCUGAACCAGGCAAUCCUUGGUCUUUGUCAGGAAAAUUCCAUCCACCUUUUGUAAUGUGCCUAAACAUUUUGAGAUGGUCACCAGGUGGGUUUUCUGUUACCUGAGAUUUCUUUAAAAAGUCAUAUCCUUUGAUCAGCGUUGAUCGAAUAAUCUCAUCAUCGUCAUCUGCAGCUAAAAGGACUUGGAGCGAGAAGGAUGUAUCCCAUAUUUGACUACCACAAAUCUGCUCAAGUAAAACAUCAAGCUUAAAUUGCUAUGGAUGAAUCAUCUAAUUUUGAUAUGCCAUACUACUGAGAUCUUUUUAUAUGUAACGGCAUUAUUAUUUGGGGUUUUCAAGUUUUGGCUCUCAAAAGUUGAACACAAAUUAUACUUGAUAUUUUAUUGAAAAGUCUUUUAAAAUGAUCAUAAUUCAGAUAUUUUUUUGAGUUAAUUUAAAGUUACGAUAAAUGUGACUGGUGGCACGGCACAUGUCACGUCUCUCACAAGUCACAUGUUAAUUUGAGCCCGCCACAGUCAGAUAUAACCACAGCCACAUUCAAAUAUAUUUGUAUUCAGUAAAAUGAUCAUCGAUCUGUUUAUAUAUGAUGACAUAUUGCCAUCCCAAAAAGAACUAACCUGGAAUUUCAGACCGUCAUCACCAAUCCACACAAAAUCGUGGAGUCGAGCAAGAUGUUUCUUGAAGUAAUCACCCUCUGGCUCUUCUACCCAACAUGCAAGCAUACAAAGCACCUAUCAAAUAUGACCACGAAAUUGGUUACAGACUGGAUAUUUUAUGUUUCUUCUCGAUUAAAUAAAAAUCAGACAUACGAAUAUACCCAAAAUUAAAUGACAAAGGAUAAAUUCUGAAAAGGGAUUAUUUUAAGAGUGCAACCUUUGGCACACAUCCAGUGGUAAGGUAUCGGGUGGAUUCAUCAUGGUAGUGAAUGAGUUUCAUUGUUGUUUGAAGAGCUCUUUGCCUUAUGAUUUUGUUGAAAGGCCAACGGUUUAGGAUGUUAUCAGAGAACAUAUGGACACUUUUCCAAAACAAAUCUUGUAGAUAUGAUUGUUGAUUGUAUUUAUCUUCCUGCACUCAGUUACACCAACAUUGUGAUACAUAUCCAUUUAUUGUAAUCAAUAAACAUGUUUUUAAAAAUUAACCGGCAUUGUGUUGGAUGUAGUUAACUAGGAAACAAAGAUUUGUAUUUUAAUUUUUAAAUGAAGUAUGCGUUUGUUCCGUGAGAUUUGCAUUAUUUUUCUUUUUACUAAUUACGUCCUAUAUACUGGACUUAUAAACAAACACUAGAUUUUGUCCCGCGCUUGAAAGCACGAGUUCUUUUGUUAUAAAUUUUUUUGAUAUGAAUUAGUAUUUUGUGAUUGUUUUACAUUAUUAUGUUAUAAAUUCUAAUUAUAUAAAAUAAUUAAUUUUCUUAAACAUAUAUAUAAUUUAUAAAUUAUUUUAUUUGGAAUUAUGUAUAAAUCUUAUGUAAUUCUCUCUUAUGCAUGGACAUUUUACAUAAACCCCGAAAAACCAAACCAAAAUUAACUCGAAAAUACGUAUUAUUUUGGAAAUGUGGGUCUCUGUUCGCGUCUGAGAUCUACCCGAAACCCGUUUGGGAGCCAAAGUACCCAAAAUGUUUGCGUAUAUUAGAUAGAUUUUUUGUAUUUUGGAUAUGUUUUUGGUAUACAUAUAUUUUUGAAUUUUUGGUUUGAAUUUCCGGUUAUAGUUUUGGAUUUCGAGUAAAAAUUCAAAUUUUAAAAAUAUAUUUUUGGGUAUUCAGAUACUUUUUUUUUUUUGACAGCAAAAAAACAUUCACAGACUCAUAUAGACUUUUUUUUUUUGACAGCAAAAAGAUUACAGACUCAUAUAGACCCUGUAAACCAAAGUGGUAACUCUGAAUCCAUGUGUACGACGAAAGACGGUUGUUGCCGAGCACUACGUGCCAAACUAUCCGCCCUUGUAUUCUCCGUCCUAGGUACAUGAACAAUAUCUGAGUUGACGAAACUUCUUCUCAACAGCUUAAUAUCUUCCAGGUAGCUUUCAAAUGCUGGCCAUUCUUCUGGUUCCGAAACCAUCUUCACCAAUUGAGAACAAUCCGUUGCAAACGUAACCUGAAACUGUCUUAAAUUUCUCAUGCAUUCCAUUGCCCAAAUUAAUGCCUCCAUCUCCGAAUGAAGCGGUGAAAUACAUGCCCUUACAUUCCUUGCCCCUAGUAAACCAUCAUACCCUGGUAAUGUACUGAGCCAACCUUGCCCUGAAAAUAGAUCCUUAUCUUUCCAUGAACCAUCUGUGAAGCACCAUCUUCCUAUGGUUCCUAAGUUAGGCCUGACCUGUAUUUCAUGUGCACACCCGUUGUUACUAACUUGUGCCUCAGCCCAAAGUGUUGAUUCUACUUCUGCUAGUCGAAGUGUUUCCCUGGGAUCAAUAUCAAGAUUACUGAAUACUUUAUUGUUCCGACCCUUCCAAAUAUACCAUAAUAUCCAUGCAAACUGAUGAUCCUCCAUCUUUGGAUUAACUCUCCAAAAUAGAUGGUCCAUAUUAGCAAAAAGAGAGCCAAUAGGGAAAAAGUUCGGGUUUGAUGGGAUUUUAGAAAGUGCCCAGACUUGACGAGCUGGGGGACAUUCAAAAAACACAUGGUUUAUUGAUUCCUCUGUAUCGCCACACCGUGCACAGCAAGUAUCUCCUUGUAUUCCUCUUGCUUUUAGAUUUUUCGUUACCGCUAUACAACCUGAUAUCAACUGCCAUAAAAAAUGUUUUAACUUUGGAGGACACCUCACUUUCCAGCAAAAAGCUUUGAGUAUAUCAACAUUGGGACCAUAAAAUUCUGGUGGUUUUUCCUUAUCAGGAUAAAUCCUUUCCACUUGGUACCCUGAUUGUACCGUGUAUUUUCCAUUCUUGGUGAAAUGCCAUCCAUUCCUAUCCUCCAUCCGAUUUCUACAAUUUUGGGUAUUCUUUUGUUCCUUGGGUCAGAUUUCAGAUAAAAUUUUAGGUCUUUUGAGUAUUUUUUAGAUUUUUGGGUUUUUGUUUAGAUUUUUAGAUAUUUUUCGUGUUUUGAGUAUUUUUAUGUUUAUCGAGUAUUAUUUGAGUCAUAAAUAUCUGAAUAGAUCCAUACCCGUUACGUACAAAAAAAUAACAGAUAUUUUAUAGGUAUUUGAAUUAUGGAGCCGAAACCAUCCAGAUCCGAAAGAAACCGAUCCGAACCCAAAUAAUUUUUUUUUAAAUACCUAAUUAGGUCUAAAAACCCCCGACCUAGCAAAAUUCAUUGAUUCAUUUUAUGAAAUUUUGGGUGGAAGUAUUCUUGAGGUUUGAUCAAUAAUGUUUAAUAAGACAUGGCUCAUUUACAUUUUAAAAGUUGAUCUCGUAAGAAAAUUUUGAUGUAAUGGAAGAUGAUGGUAUAUAUAAUAAUGACCUCUACGUAUUGAAACUUCGGUGCCGUUUAUAUAUGUUAAAUUGAAGGAAGUUGAUUUAAGUAAAAUAAUCAUUUGAAACAUUCUAUAUAUGUACUCAUGAUCUUAUUAAAGUGAGUGAGAUUUAUUUAAACGUUAGAGAAUAUUAUAUGGUUGCUAUAUAAUAGGGGAUAAUUAAUAAUAUUUAGUUGUAUAUAAUAGGUUGGACUAAAAUAUAAAUAGAUGCAACAAACUUUUGUAAGUAGAUUUUUUAGAACUCCUUCCCUUUUAAUAGUAUUGAUUUGCACCGUAACAUGUUAUUCCAGUUUGUUUGACAAAGACUCACUUUUGCGCAUAGGUUUUGGGCUUGGCUCCAAACGAUUUGGGCAUAAGGGUGUAGAUAAAGCUCUUCACGGAGCUGUAGAAUGAGAGGUGUUGGUGUAGCUACAAAUUUUUUACCGUACAGGUAUGACAAUGCCAUAAAACUCUCCCUAAAAUAAAUCCACACGGUACCUGCACAUAUAAAAUACCAAACAAACUGCGAGUCAAUCUCAUCAUAUGAAGAAAAAUAAAUAAAGCCGCCGCAAAAUUCAACCUCCAUUAAUAGGAGAAAAAGAAGGGAGCAUCCAGAACUCGGGUGGUAUAGAUUUGCAGCCAGACCAAUCGUACACUCCAAGAACCUAGUAAAUUAGCAAGAUUUAGGGUAAAUCUCCAUGAUGAUAAUUAUCUUUUGGUGAUUUAGUUCAGUAAGUGUACCGAAAGCCAAACUUUUCCAAACAAGGGGGUAUAAGUAGCACCACCAUGGUCGAGAAUCCAUUUACGAGCCAUUGCACAAGUACUUCCUUGUUCUGGUUCUACUCCUAGAAUCCGUAGGCAGAUGUAGUUGAGGACCGUGCUUAGCAUACAACUGUCGCUCUCUAUGUCUAUUCCCCACCCACCAUCUACGUUCUACAAAAUUCUACUAUAGUCAUGUAUGGUAUUGAUAUAUAUGUAUAUAUUCAAGCAUAUGUCUUAGGAUAUUCUAAGUUGAAGUGGAUAUGAUUGGGAUAUUUGUGAAAAGAACCCAACCUAAAUCAUUUCACCUAAACUUUGUAACAAAAAUAAAGGUGAAGCAUACUCCAACAAAACAAAUAAAUACCCAAGUCCUGUUGGGAGUUGGGACGAACUUGUCUAAUGGCUAAAACUUUUUGACAUCACCUAAUAGAGAUCUCAAAAGUCAUAGAUUCAAUUUCUGUUAAAGAAAUCUAAUAUCCUAUAUAAUCUAAUAUAACAUGAUAUGAGUUUUGCAGUACGAAAAAGAACAUAUUUCAACGAAAAAAUAAAAACCUUAAGAAAAACUUUUAAACAUAAAUUGAAAAGUGAAAACUAACGUGAAUGUUAUAUCACUUGAUUUUAGCUACUAUGUUUUAUAUUUUUUUUAAUCAAAAUACCAAAUAUAUUUUUAAUAGAACUAUAUCGUGUUUGGCUUCAUUUCCAAACUCUGUUCUGAAGAUCCGGUUCUUGACACAUUGAUGCACAAGCAUCUACAAUAUAUAUGUAUUUGAAAUAUGGGUUUCAGAAUAACAUGAUACAAUUUUCUUGUUCAAACAUCGUUAUUGGCAAUUCUUUAAUCGAAAUUCGCUAAAUUUAUGGUAAAAUUAAUAGUAUAUUUGACGUAGCUGAAUCUAGAUAAUUGCCAUGAAUCUUGUUUAGUCUGUGAUAUCUAAGAAUCUGAUCUUUUAAUUUAGGGUUCUAAUUUUUAUCUACCAUAAAAAAGAUAUAUGUUACACCACUAAUUAGAAAUUUAACAAAAUAUCUUAAAUUUAUUCAUAGAUGAUAUUUUUCUUAACAGAAAACAAUAUAAAUCUAAACAAUAAGAUUUGAUGUGUUGAACAAAAAAUAAUUCAUGUAAAAGCCAAAUAUGUUUAUAUUAUGCAAUUAUUAUUUUUUUACCAUUUUAAAUCUAAGCCAGAUUUUAUAGUAAAAACAAAAAAAACUAAACUAAAAUAUAAUACAUUAAAUAAAUAUAUUUUCAAAAUAUAAUAUUAGCUAAUUUAAUUUUAUCACAUAAAAUAUUUCUAGAAUACAAACUUUUUAAAUAAACAUAGAAAAUUUGUAAUGAUUUAUAUAAAAAUAAUGUUUAAAAGUAAAAUUUUAAUCUGAUGUUACAUUUUUAAAUGAAUAAAAUAAAUAAAUUGUGAAUAUAUGAUUACUAAAAUCUCAUAAAAAUAGAUUUCAAUAUAUAUAAAAUUUUGAAAAAAUAUUUGUGUACAUAAAUUAAAAUAUUUUAUAUUUUAAUAAAUAUUUUUUUAAACAAAUAUAUAUCCACAUUGCGGGUUCGACUCUAGUUAAUAAUAAUGUCUUAUUAGAUUCGUUGAGAUCCACCGAUCUACAAAAACAAGCUAUAAAAAAAUGAUCCAAAAUCUUCUUCUCAGUUCUUAACAAAAUACCAGUAUUAAAUUGAAUAAGAAAUAAGAUUACAAAAAACUUUUAUAUAUGAAAACUCCUACAAUUAGAUAAACACCAAACACCUAAUGAUAUAUUAUAAACCUCUUUUAAAAUAACUAAAAUAAUUAUACAAAUAAAUUUAAUAGAAACGGACAGGUAUAACGUUUUGAUGAUGAUACGUUUGAAAGUUCGUAUUACACAGUUAGUAUCUCUAUAAAGUUUGGAAGUAAUGUCAAACACGUUAUACCUGAUGGUUAUACAUGUAACGUAGAAACUCUUUGCGAUGCUCCACGGUGAAGAUUUCUUCCAGGUGUCCAGUUAUGUAUAAGCAUAUGAACUAUUGUUUUUCCCCCGUUCAUUGAACAACACCAACAUCAUUAGAAAUUAAAAACCAAUACAGAAAAUAUGAUUAAUAUAUAAUAUUUAUACCAAACCUCAAUGUUCAAUAUUUGAUACUAAAUGUUAUUAUAUAUAUAUAUUUUUUAAAAAUAUUUAAUUACGAAUAUUGUUUUAAAAUUUUAAUAAGAUAUAUUUGAUUAUUUUACUUUUAGUCUUUUAACUCAUUAAAUAAAAAUUAUUAUUUGAACUAAAGAUAAUACAUUUUUUUUGUUAAACAAUUAAAGAUAAUACAUAAAAUUUAAGAAAUUUGUAAUAUACGUGAAUUUAAGAAAUUAGAUGCAUUGCCAGUCCAAUAAGUGUUUCCACAUUUAAUAAGAAAUCCCGGUGAAAACGGGACUACUGAUUUCCUUUUUGCUAACUAUUGAUUCCUUUUUUGUUAAAAAAAAAAACAUAAUAGGUAUUGAAACGUUAUAAACUGUUUGGAGAAAGAGGAGCUUACGAAUGGGGAGUUCAAGAACAUGAUACCAGAGUUCUCAGCAGGCCAGUGUCCAUCCUUAGCCUGCAACGCCGCGAGAUAGAGUAUUCCUCUUCUCAUCGCCGUCUUGGCAUCUUCAUAUGUUAUUUUUUCCGCGUCCUCUACUCUCACUCGCGGGAUCUUUUGCUCAAACUUCUUCUCACUCAAAAACUUGAGUCCAAAUGAAGUCGAAUUAAAAAAAAAAAAAAUGAAGUCGAAUUAUUAGUACUACUAGUAGUAUAUGUUUACAAUAAAAAAGAAUCGAUUACCUCACUCACCUGUAUACGCCAUAGGAGAUCGCCAUUGGUUUUGAAACGUGACCGGUUGAGCGAGAAAUUCCGGCGAGCUUGUUCCAUCUCAGCGAAUUCGGCGGGAGAGCCUGCUUCUGCAUCAAACUCCCAAGUCUGUCUGCCCACGUAGUUGUUGGUGCUGAACAAGUGAUGAUCAUCUUUAGCCGCCGCUCCGAUCCUCAGCCUCCACAUAUUAUAUGUUAUCAGUAUUCUCUUAUGUGCUCACCAAUUACGAUUCAAUAACUUCGCGCGUAACUAGAUUUUUGAACACAUGUGGCAAAUGACUGAUAUAAUACAAUGGCGGAGCUAGCAUAGAACCAAGGUAUAUGACUCAUGUGAAAAGAAAAGUUCCCUCUAUUUUGUAAAACAAAUCUGAGGUAAUUAGCUUACUGACCGUUAUAAAACACAUUUGUUAUCAAACUGACCCAUGUAAACGAAUAUUCUGCCUCCGCCAUGAUAAUACAUGUGUUGGAAAAUGCAUUAGGCAUGAGUCAGACAAUGGGAUCUAACAAAUUAUCAAUUAAUCUGAAAUAAAUCACAAAUAAUUUUUUAAUUUUUAUUUUACAAUAAUAGAUUUUACACUUGAUUAUUUAUAGAAUGUCAAAAGUUUUAGAAAUUAUUUGUUAACCAAAUUAUACAAUAUGUUUAAUAUUCGAAAUAUACUGAUCUAAAUCAACGUUAAAAGAUGUACGCGUAUAAACUAAUACAUGACUUAACAUUUUUACCAAAGGAAAAAAAAAUUAAUACAUUCAAGUCAUAGCUAAAGCAAAUUAAAAGAAGAUAUAAGUGAAAUAGAAGUUAAUGAUAUACAGUGAAUUUUACCCACUUUUAACCAUGACAUAUGAGUAUUUUAGAGUAUAUUAUAUAGGUUUUGAGUAUGUUUUAGAGUGUUUCCAGGUUCAUGUACGUUUUGGAGAAUUUUGUUGAUUUUAGAGCCUUUUGAAACAUUUUGAGAUACUAAACUGCACAUACGGUUAAAUAUUUAGAUAUGACCUUCCCAUAAUGCGAUUGAGCUGAUAUUUUGACACAAGAUAGAAAUUUGAGUUAACUUACCAUUGCAACCAGAAGUUAUGCUCGUUUUACUGAAUAAUAGUAUGUCUGCCUCGCGAGACAAAACUGUAGAGGAGAUGAAUGAAUGUCAAUUGACGGUGAACCCUUGGUGUGGAUCGACGGUGAUGCCAUAAAGCGGGAAAAGCCUAUUUCAUGACUAAUUUAAGCCCAUAAGUUAUCAUAAGUUACCAUAAUACCUUUGGACGACUCAUAACCCUACUUAUGUGUUUUCUAAACGAUUGUUGACGGCUGCGCUUUCUAUUAUUCUAUUAUAUUAUUUUCUCUUAGGUUUGGAGAGAAGAUCAAUUCUCCUUCAGAGAUUGAUUGAAACUCCAUUGGUUUUAUCAUUGAUUUCUUAUCUAUUAUAUUAUUCAGACUAUGAUUUGUGUUAUUGUUUCCAUGUCUGAGUAAUUCACCUGUUAGGUUUAGGGUUCAAAUAGGUUAUGAAAGUUUAGCCAAAAAUAUAGAAUUGCUAAAUUGUCAAUGAUAUCCAUCAAUAGAAUUGUUCUUACUGCUUGUGUUCUAGAGUCGCAAACUAGAACCAUGAAUUUAGAUAAUUAGGCGCACGUGACAGCAUGGUAUUUUAUAUGAAUUGAUUCUCAGUGAACUAUGAUUGCUAGAAACAAACGACAGUUUAUCUAGGAAAACUAGUGAACACAUUCAAACUUGAUCGCUAAAGCUUGCAAGAAGGAAUAUCGAUCGACAACCCUAUAGAUGUAUCGAUCGACGUUAAGAAAGGUGUAUCAAUCGACUAUCUCUACAUAUUAUCGAUCGACACUUUCUCAAGAUGGACAAACGAUAGUUGAGAUCUUAGAUCUAGACAAUAGAUAAUCCAAACAAACGGAAGUUAAUAGAUUAUUACUUAAGUUUGAGUUCUAGAAUAUCCUUCAUGCAACUUUAGUCUCUAUACUAUUAUAAUCAUUAUUACCUGAAUAGAAACUCUAAGUCUAGUUAUUUCUCUUGAUUUCUUGCAACCUCAACCAAUCGAACAACUAUCUUGUUCACCAUGCUUUUAUUUAUCUAAUACUUAAUGAAUUGUUUGCCUAGCUUAACCUUUAUCUCUAAAGUUUAUUGUGUGUCCUAGCUCUCUGUGGAUUCGAUCUCUAAGUAAUACAAUUGAAUCUCUUAUUUGAGAGAGUAAAAAUCACUCUUUAUGGUAAUUUGACUGAUAUCAAAUUUGGCGCCAUUGUUGCGGAGCUUUGAUCGAUGUUAGACUUGAUUAGUAGGUUUAGUGUUGGGAUCGAAAACGGUUACGACGAAAUUAACAUCCAAACCUCCGCGAAAUACAAGUAUGAGUCUCUCGCCGCGACAAAUUGUGCUUGGUCAAAAGAAUGUCGCGACAUAUGUUCUCGAGAUAAGAUUUUGUUCAAAUCCCGUUUGGAUCAAACAUAAGCUGUCCUAAGGUAACAGAAACGUAUCUAAGCCAGCCACGGAUAGGUUCGAAUAUGACGAUCGAAACGCGGACAAACCAAACUCUGUCACUAUGCAACUAUCGCACAUGCACAUUGCCCGGUCAAUGCGAAGCGACCGAGCUCGAGCUAAGCUCGGUCGCUACGUAGCGACCGAUCAUCCGUCCCGCUCGGUCGCUACGUAGCGACCCAGCUUGAGCCAAGUUUGGUCACUACGUAGCGAUCGAGCAUCUGUCCCGCUCGGUCGCAACAUAGCGACCGAGCUCGAGCCAAGAUCGAUCGCUACGUAGCGACCGAGCUCGAGUCAAGCUCGAUCGCUACUUACCGACCGAGUGUGCAUUUCUUUCGGUCUCUACGUAGCGACCGAGCUCUUCCGAAACGUCGAUACGACACGAUUCCAUGCAUUCUCGUCUACCCUUCGAUGUUGUUUCCUGAAGACCGUAGCGAACCCAUUUCAUGUUUUCCACCAUUCGAGGUCAUCAAUCAAAUUUUACGAUAAAAACCGCGGAAAGAUCGAUUUUAUCGAAAGAAGUCGUAAUAAACGCUUCAUGUCGAAAGACGGCCCAAAGGAACCUAAGACAUGACUCAAAGCCCACCUCACGAUUUCUUAACCAGCAGCCCGUAAACCGUGGGACGGUUUACGCUUGGUUCACAAGGAAAGAUAAAUGUCAAGUUUCCUCGGAUAAAUACAAAAUUUUGAAGAUAAUUACGAAGAUCGGGAAAAAUAGAAUAUCUCUAUUUUUAGGCUAUGACGGCUUAAGGACAGAAAGGGAAAAGCGUAAACCGACCUAGGAGCGAGUAUAUAAGGAGUCCUAGGCGAGAGACAUAAAGAGAGAGCUUUUGACAGCAAACUUAGCACUUAUAGCAAUUGGACAACUUUCCGUUUUUGUUAUUUCGAGCUACGACUCAAUUAGGUUUAGCCGUCUUAGGGUUGCUAGAACUAGGAAUCUCGCCGACAGCUCUCGAGCCCAGACUUCUACCUUGUUGUAAAUGCUCAGACGCAAAUUCAGAAUAAGACUUCUCUUUGCUCUCUUUUUACGAUUUUUAUACUUUGUCGUUGUUAUCUCGUGUUCUGAUUGCUUAGCGUGUGGUAGUGGCAUAUAUCCGGGACCUCUGGGAAACUAGGGUUCUCCUACUUUCCUAAUUUAAACGAAAAUCGACGGUUCAAAUUUUGGUUCCCACAUUUAGUCUAGGUUUUAUUUACUGUUUUAAAUUACUCACCAAAUUUUAUUCUUGUUUUUCAGGUACAUGCCCAGUAGUACCAGAAGCAUCAAGGACAAAUUCAGACCCAACACGUUUGGAAUGCAAGAUCCACAAAGAGAAGCGUGCAGCAUCGACGGACACCAACUCUUCUUCGUCGAUCGACAUUUGUGAGCGAGCGACGAUCAACACUUCAACUCGAGCGUCGAUCGAUACCAAACCGCGAACAGACAACAUGGGCGCAACUCUUGUGCUUGCAAGGAAAGAUAAUGAAGACCUGUAUGACUCCGAGGGUCAUCUUUAUAAUGCAGCAGGUCAGAAAGUAGAUGCACAGGGGGCUGUAAUCCUUGAAGCAUCUGCUGCUACUGAGGUUUAUAGAGUUCUUUGACAGAGAACGAUAGCAAAACUGAUCAGGCCUAGAUAGUUCUAUACCAACAGGUCUACGAUUUAACCUCUAGCAAUCUAGGGAAUUGAUAUGAAACCCACUUACUUCUCUUAUGUGGAUCAACACCCUUUUCAUGGUCUUCCUCAUGAAAAUCCUUUGGACCAUAUUGAGACACUAGAAGAAUUUUUUUGGGCAUCCAAGAGCAAAGACUACAUCAUCUGUAAGCUGUUCAAAUAUUUUCUUUUUGGGAAUGCGGUUAGUUGGCUGAAGCUCCUACCACUAGGAUCUCUCAUUAUCUGGAGUGAUGUCAGGAGUGCAUUAAGACAAGGACCCCAGUGGAAGCUAAGAAAUUCAUUGAGAACUUGGUAUCAAGCAAAAGUACCAGGAGUCUGGAUAUGCACAUGAUGAAAUCAGCUGCAAUGGAUGGUGACAAAAUCCCUGAGGCCGACAUUGGUUCUGUACAUGAAGUCUCAUUGGUAAAACAUGCUGUAGAGAAGGAUGAGAAUCAUGACCAUAUUCAGAGGAUGGAAUUUAUGAUGGAAAAGAUCCUGAAAUUCAGCAGAAGAUGAGUGACCAAUUAAACCUGAAGUUGUAUUUUGUCUACAAGGAGAUGACUAGAAAAAUUGACGCCUUGGACACCCAUGUCAUGACGCUCGAUACCCAAGUUUCUCAGACUACAGAAGCUAUGAAGAUACAAGAAGCUCUUGUUAAAGGAAAAGCUGUAGAAAGUGAGAGGUACCAGGUUGAUGACAUUUUAAAUAAUGACUUUGGAAAAGUAGACGAGCAUGAGAAGCUGGAAGAAGAACCUUUUCUAGUCGAAAGUUCCAUGUCCAUUGGCAGUUCACAUUGGUGUCGACUGACACCAUCAGCCGAGCAUCGAUCGACAUUUUUAGCUGAGCACCGAUCAACACUAUCGUUUGGGCAUCGAUCGACACCCACUGAAGAGUACGUAGGAAUAGUGAGAAUCCAACGACAUUCAGAAUUUUCUGCUCGACACCCACAUCCUCCCAUCCCAUAUAGUUUUAAAACGGACGAUAUCAAUCGACAUUAUCACGACGUAAUCGAUCGAUAACAAGAGAGGAGCACCGAGCGACAUCAGCAGGCAAGCAGCGAUAAACAACUGCCUAUGACAUGUCAAGUGCGUUUACUAGACCUCGAAGCACACCGCUUGAAUGCAACUUGGAACCCAUCUCAGACAUCAUUUUGUUUACGGACAGCAGAAAAGAGCAAUCAACAACCUGCAUAUGCACCAGGGCAAGAGCAAUUGACUCUAGCUGAAACCUGUUUCGUUGAGAGUGUCGAUCGACGACAUCAACCAAGUGUCGGUCGACACCAAAUGGAUGGACACGAACCUGUCAUGGAACGACAGGCAACGAAAGAAAGAAUUUCAAUUGAGAAGAGAACGAAAUCUAGAAAACCCUAUAUUCCCAAUAACCUCUGGAGAGAAGUUCAAAAAGUGAAAUUUAAUGGAUUUCACAAGAGGGUGAAGAGGGUUCCUAAGGAUAUGUCUUUCGAGGUUGCCUUUCAUAAGUAUAGACAUGUUAAUUUAUUUUUAGAGAGCAGAGAGACUGAUAAGUACAUUGAGCUGCUAUACAACAAGGUCAGCUGUAAACCCAAGAGGGCACUAAAUAAUGAACAAGAUCCUGGAAAGUUCUUGAUUCCGUGUUGUAUACAUAGCCAUAAUUUUCCAAACGCCCUGUACUGGAUUUGCAGUCAACAUCAUGGCCAUAGACACUGCUAAACUAUUAGAACUAAAGAUGGAAUCUUUUCAAGAUAGUUUCACUUUCGUGGAUAACUCCAAAGCAAAGUCAGCAUGCAUGAUCAAGAAUGUUAAGGUGGAGAUAGGGGAAUGCAUUAUCACUGUGGACUUUCAUGUUGUGGAUAUCAAAUCAGGCAAGACUUCUCUACUUCUUUUUGGAAGAGCUUUCAUGGCUACAGUGGUGGGCAGUUUGUGAUCUCAAAAAGAAUAAGAUGUGCCUGAUUAAUGUUGAUGAAACUGUCUUCUAUGAUCCCGUGGAGAAGAAGAAAAGUGAGGAGUUCAUUUCAUGCAUAGAGAUGUUUGAAGAUCUAGCACCUCCAGCCAAUUCAAAUUGCGAGCCUGCAAAACCAGCUUCACCAUCGGUCGACAUUCAGCCUUCAGCAUAGGGUGACAGGCUACCUAUAGGAUUGAUCGACACUCAGCUAUCCGCAUCAGUCGACACCCUCCAAAUUUUAAAACAAACCGGGACUGAAAAGUCUAAGUCUGGGAGAAGGACCAAGAAGAUGAAGAAGAAAAAGAAAUGGAAUGAAGAUUCAGAUUUCAUGUCACUAGUCCCUUGGCAAUGUAAAGAGGAAAGUCUUGAGUAUAAAGUGCGCUGUAGAGGAGGUCCAUAACUUUUUACCAAGGUCAGAGUGCUAUGUGAUUCAAAGCUGAGACUAAAAGGGCAAGCUUCUGCAAGGACUUUUGUCAGCAACAUCAACAAGAUGAGGAAGAGAGACACUCAGACUUGUUUUGGAGCAUGUUCAUAUUCUCAUCCAGACUAAAUCAGACCUCCAUAAAGUUAACCAAACGACUAAAAAUAAGCACUGAGUGGGAGGCAACCCACUGUUAGGUAAGUUUUCAUUAUUAAUAUUUAUGUUAUACUGAUUUCGCAAUUAUUUAUUUCAGAAAAAAGACGAAGAAUGAAAGCACUGUAGCAGCGUCACUGUAGCAGCAUCACUGUAGCAUCGAUCGAUGCUGUAGCAAAGAUACUGUUCAUCAGCAAAAAAAAUAACCGAGGAAUAGAGUUGAUAUACCAGCAGCGACCAACACCAGAUUAUUAUCGGUCGACACCACUUCACGAGCAUUGUGCGGCACCUGAUCAAUAUCGCUGUCGACAGAGCAUCAAGGGAAUCGAUCGAUCGCCACUUAACUGUGUCGACCGACGCUCACCAUCAGCGAGAAGGCAUACCAAUUUUCCUUAUUAAAUUUAGUUCUUAUGAUUUAUUUUCUCAUCAAUCUUGGCAUGCAUAACAUGGGGGAUAGUGUUGUAAGUCUGGGGGAGAUAUUACUUAUAUGGUGUUUUAUUUUGAGCUUUAGUUUUAUGAGUUUUUAUUGAGUUUUAUAGAGUCAAGAAGAGGAUGAUGAAAUUUUUCAAUUUUACUUAUUAUCUAACCACUCUCUAGCACCAUUCUUUGAGUUUAUUGACUGCAGGGUGUACUGAAUGGAAAUGCCAAAGUGGAUCACCUGCCAAUAACAUCCACGGUAGCUGAAAAAGUUUGAAGGAACCGAAGUUGACUUCCAACCUUAAUCAAUUCAACUUGCUUGUCCUGGAGCUUGGUAUACAUUGGAUCGAAUUCUUCUUUCAGGUCUGAAAGGUAUGUCUGUAAACUUUUGGAUUCCUUCUCUCCUCUCUUUGACAUCCUGAAAGAAAGAAAAAGAAAAGAUUGAGAUGAUUUCUUGAGAUGCAGAGGAGUAGGUACAUUUCCGAUGACCCUACUAUUCUAAUUCAAAGGAAUGAUCGAUCACACGUCGUUGGAAGCGAGGGGUAGGUACAUUACUGAUGGCCCCACUAUUCCCCUACACUUUCCCAAGAAAAGAAAAAGAAAAAAAAAAGAAAAAAAAAAGAUAAUAAGAAUCGAAAAGAAGAUGGAUAAGAUGGACUGCAUGAGCAUCAUUGUUUAUUGGAUUUGAGAUAAAAGGAUUCAGAGAAGAGAGAUAUAGGGAGAAAAAAAACCAUAAUAGGACUACCUGUUUAUUCAAAUAUCUACUGGAGUAAGAGUCCAUGUGUCCCUUGAUAGAUUCUCCCAAGAUUUAGCCUACACAUUUAUAAGCAUAAAUGAAGUCAGUAGAGGGGUAUGGUAGGUUGAAUCAGCUGAGCUGUAGGCUGGAUGGUUUGGUUGAUAAGCUAAGGUUUAAUACAUGAAGUGCCUCUAAAGUUAGCACUAAUCUGAUGUGGCUUGCAACAUUGCAGAGGUGAAAGUAGUAAGUUUAAAAUUGUGUGAGUCCCCAAGUUUUUCAAACCUCUUUCAUAGGACUACUCUAUAUUUUGCUUGAAGACAAGCAAAAAAGUAAAUAUGGGGGAGUUGAUAUACUAUGGAUUUUACCCACUUUUAUCCAUGGUAUAUGAUUAUUUUAGAGUAUAUUAUAUGAUUUUGGAGUAUUGUUAGAGUGUUUUCAGGUUCAUGUACGUUUUGGAAAACUUCGGUGAUUUUGGAGUCUUUUGGAGCCUUUUGAGCUGCAUCACUGCACAGACGUGUCAGAUUUUUAGGUAUGGAUGGAGACUUUAAAAUGGUGUGACUGCGCUUGACACAAGAUAGAUAUUUGGGUUAAUUUUCCAAUGCUACCCGUUUGAGGUCAAUCUAACGGUUAGAUCAUAAGUUAUGCUCGUUUUACUGAAGAGUGGUACGUCUACCUCGGGAAACGGAGUUGUCGAGGAGAUGAAUGAAUGCCGAUCGACGGUGAACUCUUGAUGUCGAUCGACGGUGAUGCCAGAACGCGGACCGAGCCUAUUUCAUGACCAACUUAAGCCCAUAAGUUACCACAAGUUACCAUAAUACUGUUGGAUGACUCAGAACCCUACUUAUGUGUUUUCUAAAACAUUGUUGACGGCUAUGCUUUCUGUUAUUCUAUUCUAUUAUUUUCUCUUAGGUUUGGAGAGAAGAUCAAUUCUCCUUCAUAGAUUGAUUGAAACUCCAUUGGUUUUAUCAUUGAUUUCUUCUCUAUUAUAUUAUUCAGAAUAUGAUUUGUGUUAUUGCUUCCAUGUUUGAGUAAUUCACUUGUUAGGUUUAGGAUUCAAAUAGGUUAUGAAAGAUUAGCCAAAAAUAUUGAAUUUCUAAGUUCUUAGUGAUAUCCAUCAAUAGAAUUGUUCUUACUGCUAGUGUUCUAGAGUCGCGAUCUAGAACCCUGAAUUUAGAUAAGUAGGCGCACGUGACAUCAUGGUUUUUUUUAUCUUAAUUGAUUCUCAUUGAACUAUGAUUGCUAGAAACAAACGACAUUUUAUCUAGGAAAACUAGUGAACACAUUCAAACAUGAUCGCUAAAGCUUGCUAGAAGGAACAUCGAUCGAAAACCCUAUAUGUGUAUCGAUCGACACUUUCUCAAGAUCGACAAACGAUAGUUGAGAUCUUAGAUCUAUACAAUAGAUAAUCCAAAAAAAUGGAAGUUGAUAGAUUAUUAUUUAAGUUUGAGUUCUAGAAUAUCAUGCAUGCAACUUUAGUCUCUAUACUAUUAUAAUCAUGAUUACUUGAAUAGAAACCCUAAGUCUGGUUAUUUUUCUUUAUUGCUUACAACUUCAACCAAUCAAACAACUGCCUUGUACACCAUGCUUUCAUUUAUUUAAUGCUUUAUGAAUUGUUUGCCUAGCUUAACUUUGAUCUCUAAAGUCUAUUGUGUGCCCUAGAUCUCUGUGGAUUCGAUCCCUAAGUACUACAAUUGAACUUCUUAUUUGACAGAGUCAAAAUCUCUCUUUAGGGUAAUUUGAGUGAUAUCAGUUAAGCGAUAUGAAGUUUUUAUCAGAAAAAUAUGUUAAAGACAUCAUUAAAACAUGUUUUUAGUUCAAAUAACUACACCAAGAAAACAUCCGUAAAACGAGUAACAUUUACGAGGAAUUAUGGUUGUCGUAUUUUACGUAAUGAAACAUUUACGUGAAAAAAGAAAUUCGUCAUAAAGUCAAAGUAACUUUAUGAGAACAAUUUGUCUAAAACACUUGUAAUUUUACAACUUUAAAGAAAAAAAUAAAGUUUCAUCGUAAAAUCGUCGUAAAAAUAAGAAACGUGAUAAGGACUAUUGCUUAUUCUAAGUCAUAGUAGUAUAAAAGUGUCAAUUCAAUCCGAAGAGAUAAUGUAGCAAAGAGAAUGCAAGUAAAUGAUUAAUCUAAGUUCAAUCAAGGUAAUUAACUAAUUUCAAUUCAAGAACCAAACAAACAAGAACAAUAUCUAAAGCUUUCAAUCAAAUGAUAAGGUAGAACCCAUAGGCUUAAGGUAAUUGGUACAAGGUAAUUGUACAAGGUAAUUAGUCUCUAAGUCAAGGUGUUAACUUUAAGCAAUCAAAAUUCCUAUAGAUCUAGAACACUAAUAAAGAUCAAUCGUUUUCCAAGGAAGAGACCCCUAUGCAAUCAUGAACUAUAUAUAAUUCUCAUUGGUUUAAAUCAAUCAAACAUGUAUUAUAUUCAAGUGUACUAACUAUCCAUCAAUCCUAACAUCAAAUCCAUUUGGUUAUUCAAGCUAGAGUAUUAUUAAGUUCAGUCAAGCAUUUUAACAAACACUUUCAAGGUAUAAGACUUGAAAAAUUAUUCAGUUGUUUGUUAUUAUCAUCAAUCUAUCAGGAGAAUGAGACUUGAAGGAAAAUUACAGCCAUUAAAGACUAAAUACAAUUAUUUGGUUUCUUAAAAAAGUCUCGGUGGAAAGAGGCAUGAGGAUUAAAGGAACAGUUACGACUCAGAGUAUUCUCUGAUUGACUAUUAGUGAAGCUCAAAUUUUUAUAUAGAAACCAUCUGUUUUAUGCUUGGGGUCAAAAACGGUCACGGCGGAAUUAACAUUUGAAUGUCGUAAAAAUCAGCAUGAACAUUUUUACGAAAAGUAACAUUCGUAAAGAAAUCUUUACAUGCGGUGAAAUCUUGCACUGAUCUCGGUUGAUUCAUCGAAACUAAACACCCAUAAUCCAAGAACACGUUCAUGGAACAUCGGUAAAGGAUCCAAACAACGAGCCCUUGGUCGGUCACUACGUAGCAACCGGCUCCGCGAACGAGUCGGUCGCUACGUAGCGACCAACCAAGCCAUAUUGACCAAUCAACGGAGUUGUCGAGGAAGUGUUCGUUUGGGACCGAGCCUCUCGAUCGGUCGCUACGUAGCGACCGACCAAGCCAUUCGUUCGGUCGCUAAUUCGUUCGGUCGCUACGUAGCGACCGAUUCAUCUCAGACCCGGUCGCUACGUAGCGACCGAACUGUUUUGGACAUUGAUCAACGGGUACGACCCAAAACCUUGCAUUCUCGUCUGUUCCUCAAUGCUAGUUCCCGAGUACCGCAGCCAUAUCAUUCCUCACAUCAUUCCGAUCAAAGUUACCGUCGAAACUUUGCGAUAAGAACCGUGAGAGUUUGUUUUUAUCGAAAAGAAAAUUGUAACAAACGUUUCAUGUCGAAAGACGGCCCAACGAGGUCUAAAAUGCGACUACCAGCCCACUUACGAUUCUUUAAGAAUGAGCCCAUAGAUACUAUGACUGUUUAUGUUUUUAUUUUAUAAAAUAAAAUAAAAAAUAAGUUUCCGCAGAGAAAAUGUUAAGUUUCCGCGGAUAAAUAUGACGAUCGGAAAAAAUGGAAUAUCUCCAUUUUUUAAGACGGCUUAAGGGCAGCAAGGAAAAAGUUAAAACCAACCUUAGUGGAGUAUAUAAGGAGUCCUAGGCGAGAGGCAAAAAAUGAGAACUCUCGGCAUUUAGAAACUUUGAGGCAUUAUUCUUGACAUGCUUUAUUUUUAGAAUGAAAAAUGGAAUAAUAAAUUGAAUGAAAUUUUAUUUUAUUUUUGUGUUUUAUUAUUUUAAAAUAAAAUAUGCAAUAGUACAUUGGAGAUGCUCUAAUAGCCUCAUAGCCUUAAUUUCUAUGUAGGACUAAUUGUCCCAACUAUUUAAGUUUUAUGUUAGAAGGUUGUGGCUGCUUAUCGACUUAUUGGUGGGACUAUUCCACAUGUAUUGUAAUACGUAUUGGUGGGACUGUUCCACAUGUAUUGUAAUACGGUUAAAACAAAAAGACUUUAAUUAUGUCACAAUCUAUUCCUGUCAAUUUAAAUUAAAUAUCAUUUAUGGUCUGAAUAUAAUUUUAAAUUUUUUUCUUUUUAUUUUUGAUUAAAUAAGAAAUUAAAUUUUAUAGUCAAAUAAGAAAAAAAAUACUAACCAUUUAAUUAUUUUUUAUUUGUGUGAAAUUUUUAAACAUUACCUUAUUUAUAAAGGAAAGAGUAUAAAAUAGAAUUAUCUGAUGACUUUCUUAAAUGUAAUUCCUAGAUGUUAUUAUAUAAUAUCUUAAAAUAGUUUCUUUUUUAGAUAUAUAGCAAAACAUUUUAGAUAAUCUAGUUUAUAUUUUGUUAUUUUAUUUUAAGAACACAUAAAAUCAUCAAUCAUGUCCUAAGAUAUUUGGUUGCUUAAAGAUCCGAAACGGUUGGGAUAUCAAAAGGUCUAUUAAUGAUGGAAGAAUGAAGAAUGGCGAUAUUAAUAGUUGGAUCGAAUCCAAACAUCCUGGACCACUCAGGUGUUUCACAUGGGAUAAUUUAGGGAUGGAUCCUAAAAAUUAAUUAUGAUGUGUAUGAUUAGACGUUGGAGGGUUCGCCUACCGCCCAAGUAGCAGCUAAACCCUGUUUUGGCUCACCGCAUCAGUUACCUUCAUUAUUUAUAUUAGCGUUUCAUCUUUUAUCUGGUUUUUGAAAAAAAAAAAUACAAUUGAUUUAUCUAGUUUUUUUUGCUAAAAAUUUGAUUUAUCUAGUUUGGGUAUGCUAGUGUUGGGUGAUCAGGAGCUGGGAGAUCAGGAGUUGGGUGAUCAGAAUUUGGGUGUUCAGGAACAGAAUGAUCCAGUUGAUGAGGUGACUGGGAAGGUACCAGAAAAUAAGAGCGGGGAGGAGCCAAAUGAUGAGAAGGCGUCGAAGAAGAAGGAGAAGUUC